GUGGAGUGAAACUUGAGUCCUAAGCAUUUGAAUUCUUCACCUGGCUUUUCAAAUCAUAGACAUGAAUAAAUAAUAUCAUGAAAGUGAAUGAUCUUCAAUUAUUGCGUCAAAUACAUUACACAUGGAUUUAAAAAAGUUGAUUUGAUGUUCUACAAGCUAAACCAUACUGAUUUGUCGCGCAUAUCUUGGAAUUAACCAAUUGUGGUACAAAAACAAACGUGGUAUUAUUUUAUUUUCAUCCACUUAUCCUCCAAAAUCGUAUCAGGAUAAUGGCAGCAACCCUGGGCUAUAUAGCUGAGACUCACGUAGAGGACCCAUUUCUUUGUUGGGUGAUGAAUCCAAAAUGGAGUGGGAGAGGGCACGAGGCCACACACUACUUCACUUUGUGCUACACAAGAUCUGCAUCACAUGGCAGAUAUAUAGCUGGAAUUUUGACCCCAUGAAGAGCCCUUUUCUCCCCAUGACUUGACAUUUUUGGUGCACGUCUUCUUCAUUCCUUUUAUAUAUUACUUGUGUGUAGCCCUGGGAGUGGAAGUUGUCCACGUUUACUAUUCGUUUGAAAAUCGAAAGUGAAACUUUAAAAAGUGGAGCCUGCACCAUUCUCUACGCAUGAAAGGCCUAGGGAACCUUUUGUCAAACACUUGCUGCUCAUUUGUUUUCUUUUGGAUUCAAAUUCAACCCACCCUCAAAUUGUAUGAAAAUGCCAGGAUUUUGUAUUGUUUAUAUGAUUUUUGAAGUGGGUAUUGUGUUUGAAUAUGAGGGUUUUUCUUCUUUUUUUACGUAUAUUAUUAUUUUGUUAUGGAUUAGGAGAGGACUAAAUAGAAGGUGAUGUGCAAUUGAGUUGAUGAUGGGAAUUAUUUAUAUCAUAUGUUUAAAAUACAUUACCUGAAAGGUUAAAGUCAAAAUAUGGCAUCACUGCAUGUGAUUUUAUAAUAGCAACAACUCAAGAACUGAGAAAUUAGGCAAGAAGCAGCAAUCCCAUAACAGGGUAUUGGCAGACAACAAAGCAGCAAGUCAAAAGCAAUACGAAAACUGAGUUACUCCUCAAUUCGAUAAAGUCCAACCAGCCAGUGGGUCUACGGUUUAAAGCUUGGAGCCCAUUCCAUGUCUCCACAAACUGAUAUGAAGACUACACAGCGUGGCAUACAAACACUGAAUUAUUUCUUAGAUUCUUCUUAUACACUCACACACACUCUAGUCUUAGCUUGAAAAGACAAAGAAAAAUGAUAAUAUAACUACAGAUUAAUUGAACAAACUGAAGCAUGAACUUUGAAGAUGGGCUGUCAUAUCUCGUGUAGAUCCCCCAUUGCCAUCCCUACACACGAUAUGGGUUAAAACUCAGAAGACCCUUGUUGUCUGCUGUGUCUAUGCCAAGAAGAAAUUAAAAAAAAAAAAAAAAGAUUGAAAUCUUGGGUGUUGAAGGGGACGAGGGAAAGGGACAGAGGGGCAUCAUGAUAUUGAGUGCCUUUGUCUGAAGCGUUUGGCAUCAGUCACCUGGAAGAAUGGAGAGGUGUUCGGGGGAGAUACCAGCCAGAUACGAUAGUAGUGUGUCUUUGACUGUGGCUUAAUAAAAUGAGUAGUUAGGCAAAAGACAAUGGGCAGCUACGAAUGGAGAGGAAGAUUAUUAAUAAAUAUAAUAUAAAUAGAAAGACAGAUAGGACUAGUGCUACAGAGAAUGAUUGCUUUCGAGUUGUCUGAAACUUUGAUUAAGCUCAAAGAAAUAUCAAAAAGCUGUGGAUUAUAAGCUGUUCAUUUGAUGACUUUUCAGUUAUGUAUGUUCAUUCACGUGGGUCUUGGAUUUUGGGAGAUGCCUAAUGCCUUGUUACAAUCAUUACUUUGUUAAAAGAUUCUGACCCUGUGACCAUCUUCCCCAAGUUUGGAAUCACCAUUAACACUACACUUCUUUAGUUUAAUCAAAAUAAAGGAAGAGACCAUUUCCUCCUCCAAACCCAAAACAAAAAUAUUAUCAUUGGUUAACGGGACUUGGAUUUUGGGAAGUUUGGAGAAAAGUGUGAAGGUUUUCAAAAGUUGACAGGUGGAAAAGGAAAAGAAAACAAUACAAGCUAAGAAGAGAAAUAAUGAAGAAAUAAAGGGAAAAGCCUCUUUUAGUAUUCCUAUUUGAAAAUACAUGUAAAAUGUAAUUCAUUACUAUCUUUUAGGCUAUAUUUGUUAAGAAGAAAAUAUAAAAGAGGAAAUAAAAUUAAAGAAUAUAUUCAAAAUCAAUAAAUUAUUUUUAUUUAUUAUAUAAAAAUUAUAUAAAUUUAAAAUGUAUAAAUUUUCAACUAAUUAUAAUUAUAUUUAAUUUUUUAUAUAUUUUUCACCAUAAAAACAAAUAUAGAAAAAUUAUUUUUAAUUUUUUUUUCUUAAUACUUUUUGAGUUUUAACUUAAAAACACAUGAAAUAUAAAUUAUUUUUAAAUGUUGGUAUUUAAUAUUUUUUUUCAAACUUCUACUACAAAACACACUUUUUGUUGAAAUAAAAUAGAAGGUAAGCUCAAGCUCUAUAUAUAUAUAUAUAAAUAAAAAUUAUUAAGACUUUUAAAAUUGGAAGGUCACGUGGACAUGUGAGGCCCACGUGAUAACAUGGACUUACAUUAUGAAUAUUCAAUACUUCCAUAAUAUAUUAAUAUCAUCUUGGAUAAUGUAGAAUAAAUAAAGGUAAUUUAAAUAAUCUGAUUAUCAAUGUAUAUAUGAUUUAAUUAUUGAAAAUUUUGCUUUUAAAAAUAUUGGCUUCAAUUUUAUUUCAAAGAAAUUAUAAUUAUUUGAAAGAAAAUUUAAUUUUCUUGAUACAAAAUGAUUACAAGAAAAAAGAUCGAGACAAAAAAAAUAUUAUAAUAUAUUAAACCUAAUUAUUUAUAGGGUAUCAUUUUAUCAACAUUUUAUAUAAGAUUUUGACUUUUUAGUUGAUAUUCGGAUUGCUUAUUUAUGAAUAAGAGAAUAUUCAUUAGAUCUUAAUUUACAUCAAACAAGCCGAUUACAUUAAAAGCAAGCAAUCUAGAAAUCUUUUAUCGUAAUUUUUUUUUUUUUGUUUUUUGGAUCAUAAAUGCACUUCAUUACCUAGUAAUUAAUUAGCUCUAUUGAAAGGAUAAAAAAAUUUCUAGUAGUUGGAAAAUAUUUCGAGAGAUUUAAAUGUCCAUGAAAAGUGACUUAAUUGGAAAAUGAAAUCUUGGAAAAGGGUGUAGGAAUAUUAUAUAUCACAAAAAUAGUUGUCUUGAUGUCGGCAUUCUCAACCAGAUGGAGACAAGCAUCAUGGGUGUCUCUGAAAGCAACCACUCCAUCAUGGAAUAAACAAAAAAAUGAGAGGGGACGAGAGAGCUAAGUUUCUUGAUUCAUAAUAAUUAGGAGCCACCUUGCUCAAUCCAGUUCUCACUUGGAAUUUUGUGAAAAUUAUUUUUAAGAUUAAUAUGAGUUUUUAUAUAUGUUUUGCUUAUUUUAUCAAAAAAGAAAAAAAUAAUAAUUUAUUAAUAAAUCAAUUUAAUAAUUUAAAAUGACUUAAUAACUUAAUUUAAGUCAUUAAAUAUAUUUAGUAAAAUGACUUAAUGGUAAGACUUAAAGUUAAAAAUAAUUAAUUUAAUUUUAAAUUCAUAUUUUUUUCCUAUCUAUGUUGGUUACUUCCACGAUCUCUUCUAUUACUUUACAACCUUAAGUGUUAAUUCAAUUUUUCUAUCAUAAUUAUAAUUUAUAAGGAUAAAUAUGUUAAUUUGAUUAUUUAAAAUAAGUUUUAAGUUAAUUUUAAUAUUUAUAUAAAUAAUUAAGUAAUAAUUUUGAAAUCAACAACUUAAAUAUAAUUUAACUUAAAGUUAAUUUAAGUUAUGAAAUAAUAAUGAUUAAAUUUUACCUGACAUUUUCUUAAAAAAGAACUUAAUAUGGAAAAUAAAAAUAAAUAAAUUUUAAUAGAAAUUCUAUUUUGAUUUUCAUAAAAAAUUCUUUCAUGUUAAAAUUUUUUUAUAAUACAAUAUCAUUCUUAAAAAAUUUUGACUUUGACUUCAACUUUAAUUUUGGAUUAAAACUAAAAAUAGAAGUUGGCAAACUGUUCCAAAGCAUGGGCUUUUUGGCCCAAACCAAACUUGCAGGCCUUGCCAUCUAGCCCAAUGGUUAAUGGGCUACCAAAUUGUUCCUUAUUUACUUGAGAUAUUUUGAUGGUGACUCUCCAUAAUUGGAAUUUGGACUAAACAAGAAGAUUAGAUGAUUGAUUGUCAUGUAUGUGGGCAUGUGAAAAAGACAAUUUUGUAAGGUGGGAUGGGGGGGAGGCCGACAUUGCGGAAGACUACAGACCAAAAACAAAUGUGGGAGGUCGACAUGGUGGGACACUAUUUAUGCGAUGCUCCAUAGUGUGAGACAACAGUCCUCAUAAUAUGAUGAUACAAAGAACAAGUGGUUUUGGUGGCCACUAAUCAAUAUAUAUAUAUAUAUUAUUUAUAAGCAUUAUUGUUAUUUUUAUUACUGUCCAAAAGUAAGGAAGUAGUGGAUACUAUAAAAUAAAUUCACCAUCGGCAAAUACUAGCGGAUCCAGGCAAGACAGCUGCCCCCAACUUCAAAUUUUAAAGAAAUUAGCUCCCUUACCACUAGGUUACUUAAAUAAUUUGAUGUUAUUCUGUACUCUUGAUAUAAGUUUCAUAUAUUGCCCCCCUCAAUCUCUUCCUAGCUUUGUUUCUGAUUGCAAAUCUCGUUGAUUUUUGUGUAAUAAUUCAUGAUGAAAAAUUAUAAAGAAAAAAAGAAAAGAAAAUUCACAAAUUUAACGUGGUUUGACAGAUUAUUUACGUCACGAGAACAUGAAAAAAAUACUUUUAUUAUAUUACAAAUUAAAAUUACAUAAAAAAAUAUUUAUACUAACCUUCAUAUAAUGAAAUUUCAAAAAUAUUCCCGAAUGUUGCCCCCUCCCUCCAAUCUAUCGUACAUCUUGAACAAUAAAAAUAUAAACUUGAAUAGUAAAUAUCGUUGCUCUAUUUUAACAUUUACCCUUUUUUUUUUAUAUAUCUUUCACUCAAUAUGAGUGACCAGUAUAACAAAUCCACUUAUUAUAACUAUUGAAUUAAUAAUGAUUUGAUUAAAAAAUACAAAAGACCUGUUGAGAACAUGAACUGAAAUUUCACAAAAAAAUUGACAAAAAAAAAAAAAAAAAAAAAGGAAAAGGGGGAAAGGUGACUUGGUCAAUAGAGUAGGAGAAACAUGGUUGUCAGCUCCCAAAGUAAAUAUAACCAGUUACCUAUAAAUUGAGAGAUGGCAUGCUGUGUCAUUUUCACCGGAAAACCAGGCAUAGUAUAAUAGAUUAAAGCCAUAAAUUAUUAUGGCAAAGGUGAUUUCAGUGCGCCCUCCAUUACUCCGCAGCGAUUAUUGAUGACUUUGGAUGAAUUCUAGAACAUGAAUUAUUUAUAGUUAUUUAUGCGUAUCAAUAAUGGAGGGAAAAAGACAGCAUACUCCACAAUUCCAUUGCAAAAUAUUCACAUCCUUAUCCAAAAAUUAUGGCAUGCCAUAUCUAUCGGACCUCAUCCAAAUAGCCCUUUGAUGUGUUAAAUCUAUCAGCUCCAAUGAUAUCUACGUAGAAGUUGUUGGCUCACUCCUGAAUAUGGUUAAUAAUAGAAAAAUAGGAAUAGAGAGUCCAGUGUGUUCAACCAAUAGGCCUUGGAAUCCGUGGUGGAGUAGCCAAGCAUUGUCAAUUAAUUGGGCCAUGCACUGCAACCUACUUCCUCCUAAGGUUGUUUUCCGCCAUAAAAAAAGUUGGGUUUUAAAGAUGAAGUGCAUGAUUGAUUUAUUGGUGGAUAAACAAAUAAUAUAGAAUGAUGCAAGUCAAAAAAGGGUGUGCGUUUCCUAGGAGAAUUCUACAUUCAAAGCUCAACCUUCAAGACAUUAGCAGAAGUAAUCACAUGGGAGGCAUGAUGGGGGGCACUGGCUGAACCGGUGCCGAGCCAUGCCAAUCCAACACACUCCUCUGCCUCACGCACCCUUGUCAGUACUCGGUCGCCCGUCUCCCCCCCCCCCCCCCCCAUAUUCCUAUGUGUUAAGAAGGGACCCCCUGGUAUUUCCCCCUGCCCUUAAAAAACUUUGAAAGGGGGGAGUGGCUUUCUGGGUAUUUGAAAAAANNNNNNNNNNNNNNNNNNNNNNNNNNNNNNNNNNNNNNNNNNNNNNNNNNNNNNNNNNNNNNNNNNNNNNNNNNNNNNNNNNNNNNNNNNNNNNNNNNNNAAAAAAAGUGGGGUUUAAAACGGGAAGCCCAGGAUUGUUUUUUGGGGGGAAAAACAAUUAAUAUAAAAUGAGGAAAGCAAAAAAGGGGGGGGCUUUUCUUGGGAAAUUUCACCUUUAAAAGCCCACCCUCCAAAACUUUGGCAAAAGUAUCCCCUGGGGGGCCAUGAGGGGGGGCCCGGGCGGACCCGGGGCCGACCCAUCCAAUUCCAACACCCUCUUUUCCCCCACGCCCCCUUGUCGGUAUUGGGUCCCCCUUCCCCCCCCCCCCCCCCCCCAUAUUCCUAUGUGUUAGGACGGUACCCUCUGCUAUUCCCCUCUGCCUUCAAAAAGCUUGGAAUGGGCGUAGUGGCUUCAUGUGUAUGUGAAACAACAUCUAAUCCCAUCGAUUCAUGGUACUUCACUUCUCUUCUAUACGAUAUAGUUGAGAAAAAGAGAAACGUAAGUACUGAAUGAAACUUUCGAAUUGAUUUGAUUUCGGCAACAUUUCAAGGCAACGGAAACAAAAGAAGAAAAACAUAUCUUCAACGCAAAUUGCAAGGGUUUAUUCAUGUGAUGUUGCACUGCAUACGUUUUUAACCUACACGAUUAUGUACAGUGGAUGAGGGCCCUACACCCCCUUCUUCUUGAAACUUGCAUCACAAUUUAAUACGGCCGUUUGCAGUGUACUGAAUCCACUGUGUACCAACUAGACAGAUUUGACAAUAAUACCCUCCAGAGAAUGCUGACCCCGGCCUGGAACCACGUCUUCAUCGGUAACCUAUCUGCUAAAAUAUCUCUAGAAAGAUAUUCCCGUAAAAUAAAAUUGGAAAAGUACAAACCCACGUUCUGAUCUGCGACACACCGGACACUCCUCUGCACUCGCUACACGGAAUUCAACCUUUUGUCUUUUUUCCCUGCUCUCUUUUUGUCUUUUCUACGGUUUUUUAUUUUUUCUCUUGAAUUAAUAGUACUGUUGAAGCGCGGUCGCUUAGCCGAGCCAAGCUAAGCCGCAAUGGGGGGAGGUAAAACCGUGGAAAGAUGAAAAAAGAGAAAGGAAUAAAAUAAUUGUACUCGCCUCCUAUUAAGUUUCCAAUAAUUGGAAGCAUUCCUCGGAGCAUUUUCAGAAUUGCACCCGCCUCCCCACCCUCCUCCGAUUUAAUAAUAACAGCAAAUGUCAGCAUUAUUAUAAUGUUUUACACCUGGGUGGACAGUAGAGUCGUAGACUUGCUAAUUCAAUCAAUUUAUGAACAAAAAUAUUAACAUUAUUGUAACCUUUUAAACAUGCCUAAGAAACAAGGUGUGACAUAGUUUCUACCUAUCAAAUCAAACAAUUAAAUUUGACCUUUUUUCAAUAUUAUCGGGGGAUGGUAAAUAGUAAAUACCGGGGAGGGGCAAAAGGGGAAAGGGAGAGAGAAAGAUGAUAAACGGCGGAGAUGUCCCCGCUGUGAACAGAAGGAGCAGGAAUCUUUAUCAUGUAUGCGGGACCCACCCACAAAUGGCAACACUCCCCCACACGCCUCAUUAUUACUUUCCCCCACAAGGGAAAAAAGGAAAAAAAAAAAGAAAAAAGCGAGGCUGCUGGCCGUACACGUGGUAUGAUGAGAGGCGCGUGACUGGGCAGUGAUGAUGACGACAGCUGAGCGUCACGCGCGAGCGACGGUCACGGUGAAGGAAGCCCCCGCUGGAUGCUGCCGGUGGUGGUAGUGGUGAUGGGGGGUGUCAGAGAUGUGGGGGUUGCAUCAUUUGUAAUUUAGCUUUGAAAUUUGGAUGAGAGGGUGUUGGUGCCUAGUGGACACGGGAUAGUGAUGGUGGUCAAAGCUUGCUGCUUGUGAGUUGUGAUGCGGUUCAUAAUUGAGCGAUCGGAAGGGCGGAAAGGGCUGCAGCUGCACAGGGCACAGUCCCCACCACCUCACUCGUUUUUUUUCUUCUUUUGGCCUAAAGCGCCCCUUAAUUUUAGGGUUCUAUGUCCCUUUGGAUGCGCCCAUUUGAAAUUUUCAGUGUUUUUAACCUGCCCAUUGGCUUCAUCCCCGCUUCCACAUUUGGAUUUUUGCUUUCUUUCAUUGUAUCCACGCUAUUCUUUUCAAUUAACCCUGACUGAUUUUGACUAAAUUAUUUUUGAAUGCAAAUCAUUUUAAUUCUUUAAAGUGACAUCAAUGUUAAACUAUGCUUAUAUAUCAAGUAACAUUUCUUUUUCUUUUUUUAAUAUGAAAAACCAUGUGAUUAAUGUGUAGGCGUUACAUAUAAUAUAAGUAUAUAAAUAUAAGUUUUAUCUUAUACUUAAUAUCUAUGUACAUAAAUCAUAUGCAUUUUUAACUAGGUUAUUUAACAUGUGCACAUAAUUUAUAAUUAAUAUUUAAAAAUAAAUAAAUUUAGAGAUUAGGUUGAAAUAAAAGUGAAACUUCCUUUAUUAAACAUGAUACAUAAAUUUUAAAAAAAAUAUAAUUUAAAAAUAACCAAAGGAACUAUUAAUUACCUAUCACAUGAGUUUCAUUACCGUAUUAGAUCGGUUUCUAUUGAAAGUUCGAAUCAAUCACAAUAUAUCAUGUCUUCACAUUACUUUAUAUGUUAUUUAAAUAUUUAUUAAUAACAUACAUUUAAUUGUACACCGUUCAAGAUUAUAAGGCCAUUUAGUCAUGUUUUUUAAAGCUUGUUUUUAAAAAUAAUUUUUUAUUUUUUAAUUUAAAAACAAAUUUAAAAAAGAAUAAUCAAACGCACCCAUAUUUUCCUUUUGUUUUUAAAAAUGGGUGAAAACAACUUUUAAUUAUUCUUUAAAAAUUGUUCUUUAUUUCAUUUUGUUUUUAAAAAUUGUUUUAAAAAAACAACGAUCAAACAAUGUUAUAAAAUUUUAAAAAUAGUUUUUGUUUUUAAAAAUGAAAAAUUAUUUUUAAAUCACAUGACCAAAUAAGUUCUGAGUUUCACAAAUAUUGAAUUAAAACCUUGAAAUUUUUUAAAACUAAUAAAUUUUUUGUAUAAUAUAAUAUUGGUUAAGUCCCUUCUAUUAGUCUUAGUACAAAGACAUAGAAUAAUAAUGAUAAAAAUUAUAAGAACCAUAAUGCAAUUAUUAUGGGUUUGAAUACAUGAGUUAAUAUAUUACUUAGAAUAUAUAAUAAAUAUGAUAACAAAAAAUAAAUUAUAUACAUGGUGGAUUCAUAAUCGAUCCUAUCUUCUUUAAGGAAAGAAUUUGAUAUUUUAAAAGCGCGUUUAAUAAUGCUUUUAAUAAGUACUUUUAAUAUUUGUAACACUUUUUAAAACCACUAUAAACGUAAUCUAAAAGUCUCUUUGAUCAUGAUUCUAGAAAAUAUUUUAAUUUUUUUAAAAUUUGAAAGAUAAAAAUUUUCAGAUAUUAAAAAAGUUAGAAACGAUAUAAUUACUAUCAAACACACUCUAAAAAUGUGUUUAAUAAUAUUUUUAUUUGAAGUAUUUUUAAUAAAAAUAUUUUUACGAGAUCAUCUAUUAAGUUUUUUUUUAAUUAAAAAUACUAUAAAUGAUUUUUCAUAUUUUAAAAAAUAUUUUUUAAAUUAUGUCAAUCCCGUAACUUUUUUUCAAAAAUACUUCAUAAGUUAAAAUGGCUUCCUAGAAUCACACCCAAUGAGUUGUAAAUUUAUAAUAAGAGUAAUUAGUAAAAUCAUUCCAAAAUUUGAGUAGUGUUGGACAUGAUAGCUGAGGUAUUCAUGCGCAGUGGCUGUGUAUCAUGGGAUUUAAGGGUUGAGUGGGGAUGUGUUGGCUAAAAUUCCGGCAAGUGGUUGGUUCACAUGAUUGAGACUGUGGACAUGUAUUUACUAACUUGAAGGCCCAUCGGUUACUUAUAUUAUUAUGAUAAGCAAAUAAUUAUUAACAGGCCAUUCAAGUUUUUGAGUGUAAAUCAUUUUUUUUUUUGGGUGCAAACAUCCGUUCAUCCUUUUCUGGCUGUUUUUUAUUGGACUUUCGGUUUUUCACAAACAACAAUAAUAACAUUUAUUUUUAAAUAAAUGUUAUGUUCUCUUAGAUACUUUAUUGGAUUUGUCCUUCUAAAAUAUUACCAAUUUUAGGAUUGGAUUUUGUGAAAAUAAUUUUAUAUGUGAAUUAUUUUAUUUGUUUUUGUCUUUAAAUUCAUUUGUUCUAUUCUAAGAUAAUUAACUGAUUGAUAAGGAGAUUGUUAGUAUUUUCAUUCAUCUUAGUAAUAUAAUGUAGAUUUGUUAUUAUAGUUUGAUGUUUAUGCAAGAACACGUGCAUAAAGCUAGAAUCAACAAGAAGAUGAAAAGAAUAGUUAAGAGAUGGGGAAAGAGACUUUAGAUAAAGAUUUUGAUCGUGGUUUGGCAAAUCCUACAUUCCUCCAUGCUCCCAAGCUUCUUCAAGCCCUAAGAAGUUUUCACUAUUCCUUCAGGUGUUUUUUAACCAAGAUUCAAAUACAUACUCUUGUACUGAGGAAUUUGUAUAAGUUUUUGAUGCCAUCUUACCUUUACAAGCUCUUUACAAUAUUCACAAGGUUCUUAUAAGAUUUCAAGAAAAGAUGGGAAUAAAGAACUCUCUUUGAAGAGUAGAUAUAUAAAGUAAAAUAUACUUAAACUUAAGUACAAUCAAAGAGUAUAAAAUUUUGGGUUUAAUGCUCAAUAAAUGCUCAUGGAAAGUUUAAAUUCGAAGUAAUAAUGAUUUGCAAGUUAUGGGUUUGUUAUAAAAUGAGUUUCAAUGGUCCUACUUAUAACUUUAGAAAACUAGCCAUUAGGCAUAUUUUUUUACUCAAUUUGUUUAAAUCCUCCACUUACCAACCAUUAGCAUUUGUAGGUGACCAUUGAGACUUUUAUUAGUUAACAAGUUGCUCAAUUGGUUGACCAUUUGGUUUAUUGACUGCUCGAUUGAUAGAUAACUAUCAAGGUGAAUCAGUUGUCCACUUUAGUUAACCAUUAGCCAAUAACAUAAGAAACUCAGAAAAAUGUUACAUAAGUGAUCUUUAACUAUUUAGGUGAUUUUCUUUUUUGGUUUUACUUAAUUCUAAGUAAAACUUGAUACUAAAUAGUGCUUAGUAGUACUGAAUUGUUUCUUAAAGUGAUGAACAUCGUUUAAUUCUGUUCAUAUGAUUUAAAAUGUUAUUCAAUUAAAGUUCCUAAAGUGAAAAAGGCCACCUUAAUGAAAUCUUACAUUCCAAUAUUUAAACCAAGUAUGAAAGCUAUCACUUAUAGCAUUGGAAAUGUCCCCAUGGUAGAGUAGGCAUUUGUAGAUUAAAGGUAAUUUUCAUUCUAUAUCCAAGUCGCACCAUAAGAAGUAUUAUUGAAAGUAAUUCAUGGGGAAGCAAAGUUCUUCAAUGACCUCCUAAAAAGUAGCAAGUAGAAAUCCGAUUGAAUGAUAUCAAAUUGAAUGUUCAUACAUUUCUAGACCUUAGAUUAAUUUAUUGAAAUAGUGAAGUUUGAUAAAUCAAAGGAUUUGAGUUUCGAGUAAUAUCUCUAACUAUGGAAUUGAAUCUUACUAUUAUUACACAUGUUAUAUUCUAUAUAAACUAGAAAUACUAUUGAUUUCAAGAAAUCAAAUUAACUUGAUUCAUUUCAUGAUUUUGUAAACAUUUUUUCAUAUCACGGCAUUGUCAAUUAUAGAUUGUUACUAUAUCAUUUUUCAAAAAUCAUAAUCCUCAAAGUACUUAUGUGUAUCUCAAGAUGCUUUAAGCAAUAAUAUGUGAAUGUUUUGAUUAAAAUGGGUUUAGGAGCUUAAUUUAUAUCACUAUAGACAUUUCGAAUGCUCGAAAUCAUACAAAAGAUUAUUAGUGUGCAAGAAUAGAGUUUUCAAAUGUUUUACAUGGAGCAUUUGAAUGUUCGAUAUAUAUAUAUAUAUACAUUUUAAAUAGGGCAUUCGAAUGUCUUUAUUACAUAAGGUGUAUCGAUGGUCAUUUUUUCACUUUUCCUUUGUCUUUUCACUCAUUAAUUAUUUCUUCAUGCUCUCAUUCCGCUCAUAUCUAAGUGUUUUUAACUCUCAAUUUUCAUUCGUGUGCCUUAAAUUUGUUUUCAUAGGGUUUUCUUGUACUAGGUCUAGAACACUUUUGGCUAUUCACUUUCUCAUGUUAGUUCCUAUUCUUCUAGAUUCUCUAGAUUUUCUACAUAGCUCCUCAUAGUGGUACUAGGAGGGUACUUUCAUUUCCCUUUAGGUCACCAUGCCCUAAGAGAUUUGUACAUGCUUCAUAUUCCAUGGAUGAUCUUUUGUUCAUUAUUUCCAUUCUCUAUAGUAUAUAGAGACUUUCUAUGAGAAGUUCUUUGACUACUUGUGGAGCUUGAGAGCUGGACGGAUUUAUCUUCGAGAUGUUAAAUGGGUCGUGUUGAGCCAACCUUACACAACUCAUGAUCCUACAUAAUAGUCAUGCCAUGUUGUGUUGAGGUAGUGGGCCACGUUGGUUGGUCACUUCAAUGGGUCACCCUACUUUGUUAAUAUUAAAUUUAUUUUGUCAAGUUAUUCUAUUGUCUUAGAUUUGUUGUUAUUAUUAAGUGAAAUUUCUUUUUGACACUUCAAACAUCUUAAAUAAUUACACUUUUUAUUUUUAUGUUUAUCGAAAUUUGUAAUUAUAAAAUUUAUAAAAUUUUAAUUCUUUGCUUUUUAAAAAUAGAAAAGAUCAUAUUUUAAUUUAUUGUUGAUCAUAAUAAUAAUAAAUUUAAAAUGUUGAAAUAUAAAAGAAAAUGAAAUAUAUGUCCAUGAAUAUUUCAAUAAAUUACAUGAAAAAAGGGGAAAUAAGUAAGAAUUGCAUUUCACAUGAAAAAUAAAAAUAGGAAUUGAUUUACUUAUUUACCCUUUAAACUAGAUGUUAUACCGUUAUUAGGUGGGAUACUUAUGACGUUAUGACAUUUGGCAUGAAAAAGGAAAAAAAACAAAAGUAGUAUUAAAAUGGGCUAAGUGGCCGGGCAGAUGUAAUGGGUGAACAUGGUGGGCUAACAUGAUGGGGCACAAUGAUAGGCCAAUACGAAGGGAUCAUGCAUGCCCUUAAGCCUAGCAUGACCCGAAGGACUAGAUUGUGUUAGGAUCGACUGACCCCAUUUUUUAAUAUGCCAAGACCUACCUUCACAACACACUGAUGUUAUCAUUUACAUUCCUCUGAUUGAUGUUCUCAAUUUUGCAUGGCUACUUAGUACUUCGAGUGUAACAUGUCCUACCAUCCUUCACAUCAUACCUAAAUUUGGUGAUUUGUAACCUCAAGUUGUCCAUCAUGUCCUUAUAGUAAGGGAUAUCAAUAUGGAUAGAUUCAUCUUAGGUGUUGUUGACCCAUACACAGCAAAUACCCUUGUAGGUGGGCUUCCCUCUUCCAUUAUCAUCUCCAUCAUCUCCAGGAUUCUUGAAAUACCCUUAGAAGAUAAUAAGUUGGGUGAACCUUAACAAAGUGUAGGAAAUCUCAUAUGGUGGCAACAUAAUAAAUACGGGAGAAAAAGACCAUAAUGAGGGGAAAACUCAUUGACUGUCAGGGAAACAAUAAUCAUUCCUUGACACCAUGUGUAUUAUGUAUGCCCCACAGCAUAAAAAUAAAAACCAAUGGUGGCUCAAAUAAGAGCUAGAAGCGAAAUAGUCCCUUAUAAAUUUUCUAAGUUCUCCAAGCAGAGGAGAUGUUCGUAUGUGUAAUUAAAAGAUCAACUUUAUCCAUGUUCUAUUCAUUCUCAUAGCCCCGAAUAGAAACAUGGGAUUGAGCCAUUUUUCCCAUCAUUUGUUCUUCAUCAAGACGGAUGGAUAUCGUGGCCUUCAUUUUCUGUUUGUCUUUUUGCAGAAGGGAUAGAUAUUUCUGUAGUGGCACCUUCCAUGAGUACUCGCAUGGAAUGAAUGUGUUGCCAUUGUGUGGAGCCUAAGAAAGGUUACUUACUAAUGGCAUUCACUCUCUCAAGAGGCAAGUGCAUGUGUCAAUAAUUCAUUAAGCUUCUCCUAAUUAUAUGUAGCUUGAGGUCGACAUAAGACACAUUUAGCAUUCUUAACCCAUCUUUAUAUUCCUUGGAUUUUUUUUUUCUUUCUUUAACUUUGGUGCUAAUUUGACAAUUUGAGAGGGGAUAUAUUAUUAAUAGAGGUGUCCAAUGAGUCGUGUUGGGCCGGCAUGACCCACUUAAAAUUCGUGUCGGGCCAAGCCAGUCCAUGCAAGCCAAAUAGGUGGCCCAACACAGCCCAUAAGCCCAUGGGUUAAUUAUGUCGUGUCGUUUCGUGUCAGUGGGCUGUGGCCAUAGGCCACUCACUUUAUUAAAAAUUUUAAUUUAAUUUUUUUAAGUCAUUUUGUCUUAAGUUUUUUUAUUAUUAAAUUUUUUUUUGUUACUUUAAACACCUCUAAUAAUUAUACUUUUUAUUUUUUAUAUUUAUAUCUAUCAAAUUUAUAAUUGUAAAAUUUAUAAAAAUGCUAGUUUUUUGUUUUUAAAAAUAGUAAAAAGUGAUAUUUAAAGGGUGAAGUGGGUCGACACGAUGGGCUAGCACAAUGGGCCAACACAAUGGGGUAACACGAUGAGCUGACACGGUGGGCCGACAUGGUGGGUCGACACGAUGGCAUGGUGGACUAUUUCCUUAGACCCAACACGACCCUCUCCUUUGAGCCAUGCCAACCUGAGCCACUAUAGUAAUUGGGUCGUGUCUGGCCAUGGACCAAAAUGGGCAGUUCGACUCAUUGGACACCUCUAGAUAUAUACCGUCCGAUAUUUUCUUUAGUUUGCAAGAGGCUAUUCAAGGAGUGUGAAGUUGUGCACUAGACAAACUCUGUGCAAUACUCUAUGUAGUUUCUGAAGGGCAAUUUGGAAAAAAUGGUUUAUUGGAAAGUUUUGUUCUAACACAUGCAAGCACACAUAUAAAUAUAGAUAAAAUGAUUCUAGGAAACAUUUUUAAUUUUUUAACCAUUUAAAUUUUUGUAUUGAAAGAGUGUUUUUAAGUGUUAGAAAAAACUAGUAAUGCCUUUUAAAAUCACUGCCAAAAAAGUUCUUAAUAAUUUCAAGUGAUUCAUUUCACUAUGAAAAAUGGAUGCAAUAGUCAUAUUUGUUAGAACGUAAUUUUCUAUAUUAAAGUUCGUUUAGAAAAAAGUUCCAAAACAAGAAAAAUUCUAUAAUUACCUUUAUUCUUCUUUUAAUUUCACUCUUAAACUUUAUUUAAAAAGAUGUAAAAGAAGAUUAAUGACCGCUCCCUUCUUUACUAAAGGUCAAUGUGAAAGUUUAUUUAAGCAUAAAUCAUAUCUUUUUCAUUCUACUAUGUGACAUGACAGUCGUAAAUGCUGAGGCCAGUUCAUAUAGACGAAUUUUAGAGUUGAAAAGUGGGGUUUGGUGUUGGCUAAAAUCUCGGCUCCUCUUUUGGCGUCAUGUGAAUGACAAAUGUCAAUACUCGUGAAACAGGCCAUUCAAAUCUUUUUUUUUGGGGGUGUAAGAACAUUUUUCAUUUGUUGGCGUAUUACAGCAAAUGUGGUAAGCCAUGGACCACGUCUAUUGAAACACUCUCAAUUGUACUUGAGAAAGAAAAAUGCCAACGACUAAGUUCCAAUCGAUUCAUUCACCAUUUUUCGUUAAGUCCAGGUUGAUUGAGUGGCAUAUACUCAAAGUCCCCAUGUAGCGUGGACCAAAUGGCAGCCUUAACAGCCGAGUAUGUAAAUAAUUGACAAGCGAUCUUAUAUGGUUUGGGUUCGGAUUGGAAUUAUUGGAGUCUACCAACCAGGCCCCUCCUAAAAAUUCAAAAUCCAUGCCAUAAUUGUCCGGUUGAUCCGGGGAGAGUAGCCGUGUUUAUUCGACAGCAAGUAUAUUAAGGAGAAAAAAAGACAAAAAGUGAUAACUACUUCAUCUAAAUGUCUUGAAGGAGGUCUUAUACUGAGUACCCUUAAUCAGUAGUGCAGCCAAAAAUUCAUCAUGAAGGGUAGAGAUUUGAGGAUAUUAAAAUGAAAAAAAAAAGAAAAAAAAAAGCUUCAUCAUACUCUUACUCUCCUCCUUGGCAUGGGUGAAGGGGUUAAUCAUUGUCUUAAAACAGUCUUGUAUUCAUUUUCUUGGCACUCAUGACUACUAUUUUUGUGUUGUUUAUUUUCAUUUUUGAAGGGAACAUGUGUCUUCUAAGGUCCCAUGUGGAUCGGAUCUUAAUUUUAAUUAGUAAAAAUAAAUAAAUGUCAUGAGUAUUUAAUUAACCCUUGAAGAUAUCAUUUGACAGCAGCAAAGCUAGAUGGUGUGACUAGCUUGCAAAGAUUUUUGUUGCCUGCAAUAGGCCCAAAUCAAGUCCUUUAUUUAGGCUCAACCCAAGUUUUUUAUGGGCUUUGGCCAGUCCAUCCCUCCCUCUAGCCCUUUUGACAGCCGAAACUAUCUAACUAGUCCACAUUUGGUGAUAAGCUUAAAUCAAUGUUUGAUAUUUCCUCCAUUUCAAUGAUUCCCAAAAGGAUGAUUGGGUCCACGUACUUAUGAGAUGUGUUUGCAGAAUCUUUCUUGAGGUCUUUGUCAUGGGUUCUCUAUUUGUGUAUUUCUCAAGUUCGAAGUUAUCCUACCAAUUAAGAAUGAAGUUACUUUCUUCUCAAAAAUGCUUGAUAACAAGCAACUCUAUGAGUUGCUUCUGGGAACUAAACACAAUGACAUUUUGAAAAUGAUGCAUGACACUCACCUAUGCCUAUAUCAUUCUUGGUGUACAUAUAUUUUUUCAAAAGAUAAUUCACACAACAUGAACCGCAAAAGGAUAAGAGUAUUGGGUUUGUGCCGACCACAUUAAGAUGGGCCAAAGUAUAGUGAGAUCAGGCCGAUAAUCCUAUACAAGUUGGGUUCUUUUGUUGGCCUCAAAGAUUAAGGUAUAGACGAGAGCACUCUAAAAGCCUAAUCUAAGUGUUAUGGUAUUGAGUAAAAAACUUAUCCCUUAGGUGCAUGGUUGGCCAAUAAUAUAUAAAUAACCUUUAGCAUCUUAACACUUAUUGGUUUAAUUAAUUAUUAGACAUUUCAUAAACUUAUUUGGGCUAUAACAUACCACCCUUGAGCUUAAGUCUUAACAGUGUGGGUCAAUAAUGUAUACAAUAUCAACUUCAGUUCUAUCAUAAAUCUUUUUUAGUACAACCGGAAUUCAAAUACACUCGUAGUAAGUUCCAACUACCUACAAGCCUCCCUUGAUUUUUUUUUUUUCCUUCAUGAAUUUUAAGAGAAUUUCAUUUUGUACUGAUGUCUUAAUCGUUUUACCAUACCAUGCAUGAUCUCUUAGUCAUCGUUUUGGGUAGUUUUAACUUUUAACUGAUGAUCCCUCGACACCCACCUUUAGAUUGAUACAUUGGGUCGAUAAACUGACCAAAUCCAAGUAGGCAUAGACUUUCUUAUAUAAAUGUUUACUAUAUAGUACAUAGCAUACCUAGUUUAAAUUUGAUCAGAAUAAUCUAGCCAUGCAUGCAAAUAUAUGGCAUGAGAAAAACCAAACAUUUAUAGAAGAAUUGACAAUGAUCAGUAAGCAAGUCCAAAGUCCAAACAAGCUCAAACUGAAAACCUUCAUUAGUUAAUUAUCAAACGAGAGAAAAACACUCUCCAUUGCCAUAAAGUUUGCUUACAAUUAAGUAUAUUAAGUACAUAUAUAUAUAUAUAUAUAUAUAUAUAUAGUAGGCCUGUUAUUUAGGUUGGAGAAAUGAAAAUUAUUUCCAUUUGCCCAUGAUCACGACAUUAUAAGAACCAGUACCACUUUAGUUUUAAUAGGUUAUAUCUCAUUGGCAUAAACAGCAUCCGAGCGGAAGCUUUGCUGGACUUCAAGAGCUAGUUCCUCCACACUCAGCUGGCAUUCGAGUCCUAUCUGUUGAUAGAGAUACGAGAAAUAAAAGAAAUCAACAGCAAGAAUUUCAAUAAUAUCAAAUUCCCUAUGGUGAAAAAAAAAAUGUUGGGUUCUUUAUCGAUAUGUAUAUGCCAUCUUCAUGUGUGUCAUGUGUGCAGGGAAUAUUACAUUAGUUUGAAAUGUAUGCAGUACAAACAUCGACGAGAACUCAAACUUUCAUGUAGUUUUGCAACAACAUUAGUAAUAGCUGAACAAUUAAUCCAUAAUUUUAUGUAGUGGACAGCAUCUAAUUUGACUGAGACACUGUAGAUCAUAUGUAUAUCAAUAUACUUGAUCACGUGAAUGUAAUAUACUAGCCUCGCAUGCCCUCAACUAGAUGAUGAGUAAUAACCAGUAUGGGAGUGCAACUGGUGAUUGUAGAGAUAAAAGUUUAGGUACUAAAAAUUGUCAAGAUUUCCAUACUAGGGUUCUAGAAUACAAUCUGACAGUUUUUCCUCUUAUCCUGGGGUGAUUGUAGAGAUAAAAGUUUUGAUAUUUGGAAUAACGUCCAUGUGAUAUACAUACCUUUAUCACAGAGGAGUAUAGGACAGUUUCCUCCAUGCUGCUGAUGUUCAGAUGGAGGACUUCAAACGAAAAUUUCUCCAACACAUUGAUUAUUUUCACGAUUUGGCCCGGUAUGCGGCGAGAUAUUAUUCUCAAGAUGACAUUGGAUCCGGAGAUCUUUGCUUCAACAUCAGCAACUGAAGAGUUGCAACAUGCUCCUAGUUCCUUGAAGUUCUCCAAUCCAAAGGGGGUGUCGGGUUGAGAAGUCAGCUGCAAUGGCCUUGGGCUAGGACCAGGGCUUGGGCUAAGACUUUUCCUCCGUUUCUUGGACUCCAAAGACUGCAGCACUUGGUGCAGCUCCUUGAUGAAUUCUAUCACUCCCCCUAUUAUAGAUGCUUGAUCUCCCUUAAUAUGAAAAAAUAAAAACCAAAACCAGCAGGUUAAAAGUGGAUAGAAGUGGUGCAACUCCUUGAUGAAUUCUUCUGUGAAGAAAGCUGAUAGAUGGAGAAGAUAUAGAUAUAGAGAUCUAGAAAGAGAGAUUAAUUGAUUACCCUUUUGAUAUAGAAACAUGGGGUCAAGGAGCGUAAAACCUUGAGGUGCUCAUUCAUCUGUCUUCUCCUGUUCCUCUCAACAGCUAUGUGAGACAUGUUGUGGUUGAAAACAAGUCUCUCCACACAAUAUUGCUGACACACACACAAGUCUUGAGUCUUCUCUAUUUAUAAGCAGCAGCAAAUAUGAGAGUGGCAGAACUAGUUGUAGGUUGGCAUUAAAUGCGAGACGUUGCACUCUCGUGAGGUCACUUCCACUGAUGUCCCUCUCUCUCUCUCUUCUCUGGUAGAUAUAUUACAUCUCACGUUUAUUAUCUUGGGUCAAUUACGUGCCCCGUGUGAGUUAAAAGAAGGCAAGGGCUUCUUCCCGUCUAUCUCAUGCACAUUACCUGCCCCUUUCACUAUAUCAUGCAUGCCAUGCUCACCUCUUCAUCCCUCAAACUUUCUUCUCUCUGCCGUAUACAUGAUCUGUAUAUUUUCCCAACACCUUCCGAGCAUAUAUAUAAGAAUUCAACACACGUACAAGAGCACCAGUGUUUUCCAUUGUUGUGUGUGAUCUUUGUAGGGACCCCUCCCUCCGAGAACACGUGGCACGCAUCUUGCCGUGACACGUGGCACGCAUCUUACAGUGACACAUAACACACAUUGUCAUCCGGGUCAUCCUCAUUCGGAUCUUCCUAUAAAGCACACAGGGCGCACUUUUUAUCCGGACUGCCUCAAGGAAGAGCAAACGACGCUUACAAAGCAUAGACAUCCGGACGACUUCCAUUAAUGCAUCCGCUCCACAAUACAUCCUGAUAACCAACAUGGCUAUCCGGAUAUGAUUGUCCGGAUCAUUGACUAAAGUAAAGCGAGUCUUACACGCCAUCACAACAACCAACCAUGGCCCACGUCCCAUCACCUGCAGAGUGAAAGGAUGGGUUGAGGUGACAAUAAGUCACUUCCCACGAUCUCUGACAGCUGCAUCACCUACCACGGUUUCUGACAGUCACCCGUAGGGUGGUGAUGACUCUGCUACCAUCUAAAUAUCAUCAUGACAACAUAAAAUAUCUCCCCACCAUUAAUGAGAGGAACAGUACUCCUGGCACUAUAUAUAAACCUUCACACGAAGAGGAAGGUAAUCCCCGGAGACCUGAAAAAAUGUCAACUGAGUUAUAUCUCCCUCUCUAACAAUGGCUAACAAAACCAUCAGAGGGUGCGUCCGGACACCCUGUCCGGACGUCUUUUGCAGGUAUACCGACUGAGUCAAUAACCUAUAUUGGUUGAGGUUGCGCGUCCAUCCAUUUGGCAACUACGUGGAACGCCAGAAGCGCGGAGUAUCAACAAUCUUUUAUGUAAACAAUAUGACCUCUUAAAUGGGCACACAGGGUUGAACAAAGACCGGGGUUUUCAUGAUUCAGUUACUAUCAUAUCAUAAUCAUAUGGUUUGGCUAUCAUAUAUCAACAUCAAUCAUAAACAAUAGAAAGGAAAAAACUCAACACAGUCACGGAACUGAGUAGAACUUGUAGGGAACUUUACAGUUAGAAUGAUCAUAGUGUAAUGGAUUCAAGUUCCAUUCAUAUGCAGUUUUAGUUGUGCUGACUUUCUGACAAGACUCUCUACACGCACCGUUUUGAAAAGGUGGUGGUUUAAGCACUCCAUAUACAUUUCUCUAUUCCUAGUAUCACCUUGUAUCCUACUCCUGGUGCUUCAUGGGAUGUUCCUCGUCUUUUCUUUUUCUUUCUCUCUACAUUUUUACCUACCAAGAUAAGGUCUUAACAUGCAUAUUUUUAGUUCGCUGUAAGACGGAGCAACUAAAAAGGAGCAAAAAAUCAUAUACGACAAGGAGUUCCAGUGGUUUUGAUAUAUUAAGUCACCAUUUCUGAUGGAAGUGGGCAGUGAAUAAUAAUGGGGAAAAUGUGAUGGAAAGAGUAGCAUAUAUUGCUUCUAUAAAGUUUUAGCCAAUUGUAAUUAAGUACAUUUAAUUAAUCAAUCUUAAUCGGAUUGAUUCAAUCCCCUCAUGUGGAUAGCAUAAAAUUGGAACAACUAGAAGGAGAUGAGUGCCCUUGCGCGUUGGCAUGGUAUUAGAGGGUUCAGCCACACUGCACUUUCAUGGUUAUACUCGAAGAUUAUUUUAUGAAAUUGUGUUCAAUAUAUUGAUUUACUAAUUGAAAUGAAUUAUCAUGAAAAUAAUCUAAUCCAAUAAGAAUUUAAAACAUUUUUUAAAUUGAAAUAUAUUGAGAAUUCAUAAUUAAGAAAAUAUGAUGUGAACCUUAAACAAAUUUAAUGUUGCUUUGGUUUUUAAUGCUUUAUUUUCCAAAAAAAUGGAAGCAUAUUAACUCAACCCAGCUGCAUUCAACCCAAUAUUUAAACAGAUUUAGGCAAUCAUUUUUAAGAAUCAAUUUGGGAGAUAAGUUUUUUUAAUCCAACCUCAAUUUGGGCUGAACUCAAAUCUAGGUUUGGACAACCCAAUAUUGAACCAAAUUUAAUAUUUCUAUAAUAUUUAUAAUAUGUAUUAUUUUAUAUAAUAAUAUUAUCUCUUUUUUUUAGAUUUUUUUUUUAAAAAAAUCAAAUGAUAAUUUUUUAUUUUAAAAAAAAAAGAUAUAUAACUUUUUAUUUUGUUGUUAUCUUAAAAUUUUGUCUCAUAAAAAAUUCUAAAAAAUAAUGUAAAUUAAUUUUGAAUUAUACAAUUUAAUCACUGACUAAUUAAUUAAAUAUAUUGAAUUCAAUUUGAGAUUAAAAAAAUAAGGUUGUGUUGUCCUAUAUAUUAAACAUAUAUAUGAGAUGAUAAUUUUAUAAUUAAUUAUUAUACUAUAUUUGGCUUUAGGAAAAUAUUAUGGAAAAAAAUUAAAGAAAAUGGUUUUUUCAUAUAUUUAUUUUAUUAUGAAAAACAUCAAAGAAAAUUAGUUAGAAAUUUAUGAAUUUUUAAAUCAUUUAACAUUUAUAUAGCAUUAAAAUAAAUUAAAUGAAUUUGUAACAAUAUAUAAAAAUAAUUUAUUAAAAUUAAUUUUUUAUGUUUUUUUUUUCUUUCCUUCUUUCUUCACCAUUUUCUUCUCCUCUAUUUGUCCUCAUCCCUGCCUCAACAUGACUCGGGUUGUACCUUUGUCUCAUCAUAUUCAUCCAUGCUAAUUUAAAAUUGAUUUAUCUUUAAAAGAACAUAUUUGAAACUUUUAAAUAUGAAAGUAUGAAAAAUUAUUCUAAAUUUUAUUUGUUAUUUCGUUUAGAUUAUUUAUAUACACUAGAAUAAAAAAUAAAAAAAUUUGAAUUUAUUAUUAAAAAAAAAAAAGAUUUGAUGUUCUUAAUUCUCCAACUUAAAAAUCUAAAAAUUAAUCUUAUCAUUUCAAUAUCUAUAUAUAUAAGAUAUCAAUUGUUUCGUUUAGAUUAUUUAUAUACACUAGAAUAAAAUAAAAAAAAUUGAAUUUAUUAUUUAAAAAAAAAAAAGAUUUGAUGUUCUUAAUUCUCCAACUUAAAAAUCUAAAAAUUAAUCUUAACAUUUCAAUAUCUAUAUAUAUAAGAUAUCAAUUGUAUCAAAUUAUCAAUAGUAUCCAAAGAUGAAAUGAUAUAUCCGAUAUAUCACCCCAAAAUUUUGCAUAUUAGCAACCUCCACACUAUAAGUCGGGGACACAUUUCAGUAGCUCGACAUUUCCACAAGAUCUAAAAUCUAUUCCGUUUCAUGUUCUCUAAGUCAUUUUCCAUGGGAAAUGGCUAGUAUUUCUGUUAGUUCGGGCACCAUCCUCAGAGCCAGCAAUUUAGUUCAGGGGGCAACCUUUGAAACAAAUAUGGGCUUUAGCCCAAUCAUCUAGAGUUAUCAGGCUCGAGUCCCAAUGGGCAAGAAGUGUAGCUUUUUAGUUUCAAUAUUUUAUUGGGGGUGGGGGUGGGGUGUGUGGUGUGGAUGUGCCCCUCUAGGCACUACCUGGCUCCGCCAGUGCCCAGAGCUCUUGGUAAAAGGAAGGGCCAACUAUUUGCCCACAAGACAAGAACAAGCCAUAAUACACAUCCAUGGUGCUAUGGAGAUUUACAAUUAUAACACAUUCAUUUAUAAUAAAGUAUUUCAUAGCAAUCUCUUAAAUCAUAAACUAAUUUACUUCUGAACAUUACAUUAGAGAUCAAAUUUUAUCCAAGAUUAUCAACUUGAAGCUGCUUUGAAUAUGCACAAGCAGCUUCCCUGGGUUUUCUGCCCGAGUUUUUAAUCAAAUUCUGGACGCAAACGAGUAACAUUCAUCUUGCUGUUCAUCACUCAGUCUGCUCAUCUUUGUUCUGUUCAUCAUAAGAAUUCAUAAAAAAGAACAUGUUUGAAUCAGAGGCUAUCUGACUGUAAACUGCAAGAAAGAAAAACAAAGCAACUACAAAGAUUUAUUUAUAACAAAAAAAAAAACUGAAAAAAAACAAGUACUCUAACCUAGGCAACAAGAGUUUAAAAACAUACAAUUUCAAAGUUCAUACAUCAAAGAAAUAAAGGUUUGAAGCUCUGUGCAAGUGAAUGCCACGAUUAGAAGCAUUAAGAGCGGUAGAUAGAACAAAGAAAUAAAAAUAGUGGUACUGAGGAUGAUGUACCUCGAAGAGAUUUUUCAAAGUUCUGUAAUUGUAACAUGAAACCAUAAUUAGGAGCUGCGUGUUGCCGCCUACUCUUCACAUGUUCUAGAGCUUGAGAUAGGCUCAUACCAUGCUUUUUCAUCAUAUAAGCAAUCACAAUGGUCACACUGCAUGAAGUAAAACAAAAAAAUCAGAGUUCAAUUAGUUUACAUUAUCUACACUUCACAUGAAAGCAAAAAUUCUAUAGAAUUAGAAAUGUUAAUGGUGAGGAAUAUUAUAAACCUGAAAAAUGAAAGCACUCUAAUGAUUCGGAGAUGAGAGUCUUUUAGAAGAAAAGGGGAAGAAAAUAGAAUUAGUAAAUAUCAAAUUCCAACCUAGAUGAUAUUCAUCCUUUAAAACAACCCUAGUGAUAGUGAUUACCCCAAAAGUUGCAUCUCAUGCAUAUGUAACAUUUCCCCCCCAGUAUUUUUCUCACAUUUCCACAUUGGAUCACCUCUAUUACCACAAGAUCCAUUUCAAUUCUUUUCCUCGCCAUUCACAUCAGAUAACACCUGUGGCAGGAAACAUAACAAGAACGAACAACAGAAAUAAUAUCAAGAAGCAACUUACUUUAAAAUGUCUACAAGUAAUCUUUUGGUCCCAGAAGUAAAUCUGAUAAUUAUAAGAUCAUUUAUGCUGCAUGGAUAUUUCUAGGUGUGAAUAGAGGAAUCAAGCAGCCUGAUACCCAUAGUCUCAUAAAAGUUUGACAUUAGAAUUGAAUCACCACCUCACUACCAAGCAGAGGCUUAUGCCUCGUGCAUACCUCUCAUAACUUGAGGUAGAGUUUAUGCCUCAAAAUCCUUUUUUUCCAAAAUUUAAGCCUCCUCGCUAUAGCCAGUGCCAUUCCCUUUUUAUCGCUCUACAAACCAAGCAAAGAAUAAUUAAGUUUUAAUACAUGAUCUGUCAUAUCAGACCCUUCAACCUAACAACCACACCCAUGGCUAAUAUGACAUAGUCAAGUAGGCAUGGGUAAGGGCAAGGGCAUGGGGUUUCUGCCUGACACUUUAAAUCCAUCCCAUUUUAUGUAAAUGGAUUCUUGCUAGAUUGAUCCUGCAUCUAGCACACCCAAAAUUGAGAAAUCACCUGAAAUACUAAUGAAGUUUUAUUCAUUGGCAAUAGGUAGUGGAGUUUGCAAAUAGAUAACAUUUUUUUCAUGAAAAUCUAUGGUUAACUGUAAGAUAUGAUGUCCCAACAACCCAGUCAGACAGUUGUUGCUAACUCAUUCGAGUGCUACAACAAAAUGAAGGAGUGCAUACAUUACUAGGUCUUCUAACAUAGUCUUCUGUAGGUUUUUCCACUAUCAUCAAUUUUUCAUUGCUAACUUUUCUUGCAAACAUAAGGAAGCAUCUUCUCUUGAAAAUCGUAAGAUAUGGUGGUCAAACAACUCAAUUGAUUAGUUGUAGCCAACUUCAGGCAAGUGUUAUGACAAACAAGCAGCUAAUUUUGUUAUGGCUUCUCCAACCAUGGUUUUUUAUAGGUUUUUCUAUUAUAAAAUAUUUGGCAUUACUGUUGUGUGGAAAACACUCCUCAUCCCCUUCCUGCAUUUGUUCUUCCAGGUUCCUAAUAAGGGUGAAAACAUAAUUUUAGUUACACUUGAACAGGGUUGUCCAACAUCAGAUCAAGCUUAAACAUGAGCCAAGCUCAACCAGUAAAAGCUCAGGCAUUCUAAUAGUGGGCUCAACUGGGUUAAUUUAUACAACUAAUCAAGCAUUAAAAUUCUUGUCCAGGUCUGGUAACAAAUAAAAAUAUGGCCAAGUGUAUGAUUUCCAUUCGCCACUACAAUUUUGGAAAAUUCAGAGGCCUUUGGUUGACUGAUCUAUCUGAAGUUGACAGUAAGCAGUCUCACAAAUUUUCUACAGUAGACAGAAGAACAUGAUCUGUAUGAGGCAAGUAACUUUGAUACAGCUGGAAAAAUCACCUUCUGGAUCUUCCCAAAAAGCAGUGAACCAAGACACCACCACCCAGUCUUUUCGCUUCAUCAAUGAAAUUGAAACAUUCAUCAAAGUGCUGUGCUAUAUUUGUGUCUGCUUUGUCCGUGACUGCCUCAAUCCACAAAGAAUGUAAUAAAGAUAAUUAAGGAUUUAAGAUCAAAUGCUUAAUAUGGCUUAGAACAAUGAUAUUGAUAAAAAACACAGAUUCAAAACAUUCAGAACAUAUAUUGGUAGGAGAAAGAGAAACAUAAUGUCACACUACAAGGGACACCAAAUAAAAAUUAAAAGUAAUAAAGUGGAAUUGGAACUUCUUCAAGAAAUUAUAACAUUAAUAUAGUGCUUGAAUACACAAAAAAAGGAUGGUUCAUGAUUCUGCAGAUUCAUUUACAUUUCUUGCUAGUAUGCACUGCACUAAAUGAUUAAUUCUUUGUAUUGUAGGCACAUAGAUCCUUCCUGAUUCCAUUAGGUAUUCUAUUGCUAACAUCCAUUGGGAUUUGCAUCAACAACAUGAUAUACUUCACUAAAGCUCACAAUAGUAUGCAAAAUCAUUACAAAUUUGAAACCAUCAUUUCAGCUAAGACAAAACAAUAGCUUAGAUGCAGGAAGCUGAUUGCAGAUUCCUAAAAAGAAUCUGCUUGAAGAACAAUAGAUAGGAGACAAGGAUUACCCCAAAAGACAUGCCAAACAAAAUUCAAAAACCUAACAUAAAUGCAGUUUCAAAGGAAAAAACUAUUCACCCAAGCAAAGAAAGAACUUUGUUACCUUCAAUGACUUUAUAUGUGAAAUCAUUUGGAUGUGCGGGAUCCAACGUAUUAGCCACAGUUAAAAUGUGAGUGAUAUUCAAGCUUUUCAAUUCACUCUUAUUCGAAGCAGCUCCAACAGAACCCAGGAAGAGACCCUAAGAAAUCAAGAAAAAUGAUACAAAACAAAGUCAGUCUCUAGAACCAGCCUAACCACAUAUAACAUAAAUUAAGAAACCAAAACUCAAUUACUUCAUCGAUUUGGCAUGGAACAUUGUCCACUUUAAAGCAUCUUGUUAACAGCAUAACUCGUUGAAUUGCUGCUACCUGCUCCCUAAACCGUUCAUCAAUACGAUCCAUUGGCAAUAAAGAAACCUUUUCUACUUCUAUAUAUACUUUUCCACUUCAAAAUAAGCACAAAACUGCUGAUCACUGCACUUUUCUUGAAUGGUUAAAAUUUCCCCAAUUUGAACAUCAAUAUCAGGUGGCCACAGUUGAGCACAACCGGUCUGUAGAUGCAUCCAAACAUAAUUUGAAAAACAAUAUUAGAAUCGGAGAACAGAGAGGGUCUAAGAUUCCUUCCCUCUUGGGAAAUGUUAAGAGUAUAAUUUCAGUAUUAAAUUACAUGAAUCAACCCACCAAAAUAAGACAAAACCCAUUUGAAGAACCGCCAGUAAUACCAUCAAACUCUCAAAAAUCUAUCGGGAAGAAGAAAAAAAAACUACUGAAAGCAUUGAGCUCUGGGCAUGUUACUUGAACCCAUUAUCCAAAAUGUAAAAUUUUUUUCCUAAAGUUUGCAACUGAUCCAAAUCCAAUUCUUGAUCAAUCUCUAAAAAAGAAAAAAAAAAAAAAGAAAAAGAAAAAAAAAAGGCGGUUUUCAUAGCCAUAAACGAUGAAGAAAGCAACAGCAUGGAAGGAAAGUUACUCCUCAAAUUUCAUGAGAAGGAAGGAUUGGAACUUUUGACGCAGAGGCGACCUUGAAGGCUGCGGAUAGCCGGUAUAGAAUUUGCCUGCGAUCACCGCCGGAUGGCCGGAGAGAUGGGAGAUGAUUUGGGAGAAUCGUUCUUUUUCUUCCAACUAUAUGCGGGGAGACAGAUUAGACUGAACCGUUGGAUUGGUAUCGAGUGGAAAGUCCGAGAAAUAUGAUUUUGUCUCAAUAUUUUGAAUCCAUUCCAUCGUAUUUAUUUAUUAUUUUAUUAAUAAGAGACAAUUGUGUUUUUAACCCAUUUGGGCCAAAAAUUAAGAUUUGACCCAUAAAAUUUAUAUAAUUAAUGAAAAUGAUAUAAAAUAUGAAAAAACUAAUAUACAUUUCAAAACUAUUUUAUAAUUUUUUUUAAUAAUUAUUCUGAAAAUUUAUUAUUUUUAGAAAACUAAUUUUUUUUAAAUAUAUAUUCUAAAAAUAUAUCAUUUAAAAUUUUUUUUUACAUAUUUUUAGUUAUUUUUUAUAUACACAAUUUUAAAAAUAUAUAUUUUUCAAGAUGUUUGAUUUUUAAAUAAUAAUAAUAAUAUUUUAUUUUUAUUUUUUUGGAAAAAUGGUGUAUUUUUUUCCAAAUCACUAAAUUAAAUUAAAAUUUAUUGAGGUUUACAAAAAAAAAAUUUAAAUUAAUAUUUUUCUAUUUUUUUUUUCAUAGUCAAUAAAGGUCAUUUUUGAAAAGAUAAAAAAUCCAUAUCCUUCUUCUCAAUUUUCACACUUCCUCUAAGUCUUAGGCUUAAAUAGUAAACUUAUAUGGACUAAAACUUAAUUUUUAGAACCAACUAGAUUCAAAACACAAUUGUCUCUAUUACUUAUUAAGAUAUGGUUGUUUUUUUCUUUAAAUUUAAAAAGAAAAUUUUUUUUUCUUAAUACCCAAGUUAAUCUGAAGACUGAAUAGUGAUCAGAUUAAUUUCCGAAAUUUUAUAAAAUGAUUUGAAAUUAAUCCACAUUGAACUAGAGUAUUAAUGUGAUAAGUCAACUUCGGAUUGAUCGUAGAUAUGAGGAAAGAGAAUUGGGCCUCUAGCUACACAUUGGGCUGGCCCAGCCAGAGCUCCUUUCAAGUUUCGCCCCAGCAAAGCAUUGGUCCCACAAUGUUCCCUUAUACCCUUUUGACAUUGACAAUAAGAAACACUUCUAGCUUUUUUUAAUAAUUAAAAAAUUUUAUCAUCCAAAUUUAACAAGUUGCCCUCUUCACAACUAGCUAGUAUAAAUUAAUUGAAAUCCACCUUAUCUGAAAUGCCUACAUCCCACCAAGUCUUCCUCUUAUCCCUUAUCUUUGCAUUGGCCGGCACAAAUUUCUUAGUGUGCGAAACAAAUUGGGAUUAAAGAAAUUAAAGAAAGAAACUGCAACAUUUAAAGGGCUCUCUAAUUUUUCUAUUUUCUCAGGAAUGUGUCUGGUGACACCACAUACCAUAUCAUCCUCAUGCCUAUUGCCACUGCUUAAAGCUAAACUAGGACUCGCUCACUAUCCUAGGUCCAAUUGCUAAGUAAUGGAGAAGUAGAUUUUUUUUACUAUUUUAUGCGUUAAAAAAGAGAAGAUAAAAAAACAAAUUAAAAAUCUUGAUAUAUAAGGUAAGAUAGGACAAGAUAAUGUAAUAUUUGAAUGCAUCUCAAAUUUUAAAAAACUCUCAAAUUCACUUGCUCCUUCUUAUAUAAAUAUUAUCCGGUAUGAAUUCAAUAAGUUUUAAUAACUUUAAAUAUAUAUUGUUCAAAAAAUUUCUCAUUCUAAUUGAUGUAAGAUAUUAUAAUCGCAUUUUUUUUUUAUACAAACUAUAUAUCUUCAUUAUGUCUUAUAAGAUUUUAGGACCAAUUAGACACGGCUUACAGGUUACACGAUCUCACAUUAGUCCUUCCCAUUUAAAUAUUAUCUUAUAAAAAUACAUAUUUCCAAUGUGGGGACACACAACUAAAGUCUAAUAUCUCUCUUUCAUAUGGGUAUCAUUCAUCACAUAAACAAACACUCAUUAAUAUGAUAAAUAUUGUCAAUUCUAAAUUCAACUUAUGGUUGCGAUUUUAAAAAAAUCUACUAAUUAAAAAAUUUCACUCUAUACACAGUAUCAGAGACAUCUCCUCCUAAUAAAGGAGAGAUAUCACAAAGUCCCUCCUUGUCCACCAUGGUUAAUUCACUUGCAACUCAAAGUCAUUUAAGAGUUUAAGACAAAUGAGCAAAACCUAGCCGAUAUGAGUCCGGAUAACGACAACAGCUUGCUAACAUUACUAUUGCAAUCUUUAUGAUUGAAGACUGUAAUGCCUGUGGACAUGCCAAGUAAUCGGUGGAUUGCCACCCUGAAUAAGUCCAGGGAAGAGAGAGAGUUAAUACCUCCAUGAGCCAGUUGUCAUUGAUAGAAACUUGGAGAGAAUCACUCAUACGGUCAUACCACAUAACAAAAGGUGAAGAUGAUAUCGACACUCGGAAUUACUGUAUAAGGGUCUAAUGCCCGUUAAAAAAUUCAGUUGAACCACGCACAUCACAUGGCAUAAAAGGUACAAAAUAUGGAUAUGGGUGUGUAAGGUAGGCACUAGAGAAUAAUUAAAUCUAAUCAGCAAAAGGUCAGCAAUCCUAGGGUCUUAUCCACAUUUCAAACUUACGCAACCCGCGGCGUCUCACCGCUACACCCCUUAUAAUAAGGGUCCACUGACUCCACUCGCUGCAGUCCUUUACCAAUUCCAACCCCAUCUCUCUCCCUUUUUCUUCUCCAUGGCUCUGCCUCUCAAACCCCUUUUCUUCUUCUCCUUCGUUUCUCUCGUCUCGGGCUCUUAUUCUCUGCUCCUUCCUGUCACCAAAGAUGCUGCCACACUCCAGUACGUGACCCAGAUUCAUCACGGCACUCCACUUGUUCCCAUCAAGCUUGUGCUCGACCUCGGGGCUCCCUUUUUAUGGCUUGAUUGCAGUUCAGGCCAUGUCUCAUCCUCUAAUACCCCAAUCCUGUGUGGUUCGAUUCAAUGCUUAACUGCAAAGACCAGUGAUUCUGGGCAUGGGGGUGGAACCUCCACAUGUCGUCUCUCCCCGAAAAACACCAUCACAGGACUGGCCGAAGCAGGAGAGCUAGCAGAGGACAUGGUAGCUGUGGAGGGGUCAGAGAUGGGUUCUCGCUUCCUUUUCUCUUGUGCCCCCAAGCCCCUCUUAAAAGGCCUGGCAAGUGGCACCGUCGGAAUGUUGGGCCUCGGGAGGACUAGAAUUGCACUGCCGUCACAGCUCGCCGCAUCGGUCGGCCUCCACCGGAAAUUCGCAGUCUGUCUUUCAUCAUCCGAAGGCACCGUAUUUUUGGAGAACGAAAUUGCCGGAACAGACGUCUCAAAGUCGCUCAUGUACACGCCCCUCCUCCCGGGUCAGGAUCCCAAUUCCGAAGGCUAUUUCAUCAGUGUGAAAUCAAUCAGGAUAAACGGCAGGGGAGUCUCUCUUGGGACAAUCACCGGAGGGACUAGGCUAAGCACAGUGGUUCCUUAUACAACCAUGAAGAGAUCAGUCUACGACAUAUUUACUAAGGCUUACAUCAAGGCUGCUGCUUCCAUGAACAUAACCAGGGUGGAAUCCAUGGCACCUUUCGGGGUCUGCUUCAGGUCCGAAUCCUCCGAGCCCGCUGUGCCCACCAUUGAUCUUGUGCUUCAGAGUGAGAUGGUGAAGUGGAGGAUACUGGGGAGGAAUUCCAUGGUGCGGGUAAGCGAUAAAGUUAUGUGCUUGGGAUUCUUGGAUGGAGGUGUUGACCCAGGUACAGCAAUCGUAAUAGGGGGUCAUCAACUGGAGGACAAUCUUCUAGAGUUUGAUCUCAGUACUUCUAUGCUGGGUUUUAGUUCAUCACUGUCCACUAGGGAAAGUAGCUGUUCUGAACUGAAAUUGAAUUCCAUAUUUAAAGGGUCUCUGUAAAUUUGUAAGUCCAGAGCCUGAUAGAGGGAGAGAAGAAAUUUAAAGAUAGAUUUCUCCAUUUAUUUAUUUUUAAAUGAGACGUUAAAUUGACGCGUCAUUUUCUAUUUGAUGGUGCCAAGGCUUUACGUGGCUGGCCGUGACUUAAAAAUAUGCUUUUAACUCGUUGGCCAAAAAAGGAAUAUGCUUCCACCUUUUUCUGUCGUUUGUGGAGCGUCAUAUUCAUCUAAUACCGACCAUCGGAGCUCCUUCUAUGUGCCUGGGAAAAGACAGAAUCCACCUUACAAAUCUUAUCCAUCUGUGCACACUGAUUUGGAUUUCAUUAGCUAUUGACCUUUCCAGUCUUUUUUUAACCAAAAAUCUAAUAUAUAAAAGUAAGAAUGGUGUUUACACAUUUUUUUUAAAUAUAAAUAAUUAAUUAGGUAAUAAACAUAUAUAAAUUUUUAUAUUUUAUAAAUGAUAAGCCAUCGAUAUCAUUUAAUAAAAUAAUUAAUAAAUAACAUUAGCUAUAAGAGAGUUUUAUAUUUUAUUAAAAGUUUAUAAAUAAAUCCAAAAAAUAUUAGUUAAAAAGAAAUAAAAUAUUUGUGGUUGUUACAUUUGAUUGUCCACAAAAUAUAUAUAUAUUUUAAGAUAUUAUAUUCUAUUUGAUAUAAUGUCACGAUAUUUAAGGUAUUAUAUCAAAUGGAAAAUGUAAGUCAUAUUGAUAUUUAGUUUGUAAAAUGAAUAAAGAAUAAUAAAAUAAAAUAUAUGUUAUUUUUUAAUAUUUGAUAUUAUUUAAAAUAAAAAUUAUAUUGUAUUUCAUUAUUUUUUAUUAAAUAAAAAGAAUUUUUUUUUAAAUUUCUCUUUUUAUAACCAUAAAUGAAAUUUUUAAUCAAAUUUUAUUAUUCUAAAAAAUACAUAUAUAUAUAACAUGUUCCAUUACUUAUCAUAUCUCAUAUUUAAUUCAACAUAUGAUAAGUAAAUAAUGGAUAACUUAUUCUUUCCUAUUACGGACCAAAUAUGAGAUAUGAUAUAUUAUAUUUUUUUCUUAUUCUAUCUUAUAUAAUAUCAUGUAAACCACACAUGAUAUUAAUUUUUAGAUUCAAAUAUUUAAAUUAUCAUUUUAUUUAUGUAUAAUAUAAAAGUGUAUUUUUUUUUUUUUGUUCAUAUAAAAAGACAUCAUCAAUCAAAUGAUACCAUAUCUAUAUCUUAUGUUAUAUUAUUUGCACCAUAGUUUCAUUUAUCCUUGCUUAGUACCUUCAUCACAUAGUAUCCUCGUUCAACAUCCUAAAUCUCGUCAAACAUAUUAAACGGUCCGGAUGUUUUGUUUCCCAAGUACUACUAAGAUAGCUAGGCAUUUUCUUAUGUACAUUUAAUUGUCUCACUUGCAUUCACGUGACCAUUUAUUAUUAACUAUAAAAAGAAUAGUGCAGCCCACCAUCAAAUAAUUCAUGCCUAUUUAAUGUUUAUAUGUCUGUAAUAGUAGGUUAUAAACCACCUCCUCUGAUAAUGAUUUGAAAGUCAAAGUCAAAAACUUCAACGGCUUUACUGAAGGCAGCCCCAGGUCACCAAGUCGCCAUCCUUGACUUAGCAUUAUCCAUAAGCAAUCGAUGAGCCGUAUAAAUACCUGCUGGACUUUCCACUUUUACUCACACUUCCAACUCUUCUUCUUCCUCCAUCAUUCAAUAUGGCUUCCACGUUUCUUCAUCUCCUCCUCUGCUCCAUUCUUCUCUCAGUCUUCUCUCCAUCCCUAGCCCAGACAUCUUUUCGUCCUAAAGCUCUCGUUCUUCCAGUCUCCAAAGAUGCUGCCUCCCUUCAGUACAUCACCCACAUCAACCAGAGAACCCAUCUCGUCUCCAUACCUCUCACCCUCGAUCUUGGCGGCCAGUUUCUAUGGGUGGACUGCGACCAGGGCUAUGUUUCAUCUUCCUACAGGCCGGUCCGUUGCGGGUCGGCCCAAUGCUCCCUUACCAGGUCUAAAGCUUGUGGAGAGUGUUUCUCUGGGCCAGUAAAGGGAUGCAACUACAGCACCUGUGUUCUGUCCCCUGACAAUACCGUAACUGGGACUGCAACAAGCGGUGAGGUGGGCGAAGAUGCUGUAUCCAUCCAAUCCACUGAUGGGUCAAACCCGGGCCGCGUUGUUUCAGUCCGUCGAUUGCUUUUCACUUGUGGAUCGACAUUUCUGUUGGAAGGCCUUGCCAGUAGGGUCAAAGGAAUGGCCGGUCUUGGAAGGAGUCGGGUUGCACUCCCUUCACAAUUCUCAUCUGCCUUCAGCUUUAAUAGGAAAUUCUCGAUUUGCCUGAGUUCUUCCACAAAGUCUACUGGUGUCGUGUUCUUUGGGGAUGGGCCUUAUGUUCUGCUGCCUAAAGUUGAUGCCUCCCAAUCCCUCACCUACACCCCACUGAUUACUAAUCCUGUAAGCACUGCAUCGGCUUAUUUUCAGGGCGAGGCUUCUGUGGAGUACUUCAUUGGAGUAAAGUCCAUUAAGAUAAACGGAAAAGCGGUGCCGUUAAAUGCAACAUUGUUAUCCAUUGACAGCCAAGGCUACGGAGGAACCAAGAUCAGCACAGUCCAUCCUUACACGGUCUUGGAGACUUCAAUCUACAAAGCUGUCACCCAAGCCUUCCUCAAAGAACUUUCAACCAUCACCAGAGUGGCUUCAGUGUCUCCUUUCGGGGCAUGCUUCAGCUCAAAGGACAUCGGUAGCACACGCGUCGGUCCGGCUGUGCCGCCCAUUGACCUCGUGUUGCAGAGACAGAGCGUGUACUGGAGGGUGUUUGGCGCAAACUCGAUGGUUCAGGUGAGUGACAAUGUGUUGUGUCUGGGAUUUGUGGAUGGAGGUGUGAACCCCAGGACUUCAAUCGUGAUAGGGGGGCGUCAACUGGAGGACAAUCUUUUACAGUUUGAUUUGGCCACUUCAAGGCUGGGCUUCAGCUCAUCGCUUCUGUCCCGGCAGACCACCUGUUCUAACUUCAACUUCACAUCUAAUGCUUGAAGGGUUUCAACACCUUUACCAUACAACUACGUACGGAGAAGUGAUGAUCGUAUUAUUCAAAUUAUUGUUUAUGCAUCUUCCUACUUUUCUGGACUAAUAAAUGGCCAUGUUUGCUACUUUCCAAGUAAUAGCCUAAUAAAAUGUGAAGAGUGUUGAUUCUUUGAAGUCUCUUUACUCAAAUGAUGAAAUAGUAUAUAUGCAUUACUAUUCUAAAAAGCACUUCCAACUACUUGGACCAUUUUGGGCAAAAAUAGUCAUCCUUUUCAACUACUUGGGUUCUUGCGAGUGCUCAAGUCAAGUUGCUAAUUUCGUGUCAAAAUUUCCUAUGUUUGUUUUUGUUGUAGUAUGUGGCUCAUAUUUGAGCGAAAAGACAUACGAAGAAAAAUGGGCAAAAUGCCAAAGCGAAGCGGAGCGAUGACAUUUGUCAUUUAGGCUUGUACUUCUUUUGUUGUCGGGUGAACAAUAGGUUGCGGGGGUACGAGGGGCAACCCCCUCGGGUACGGUUCAAUAAUAUUUUUGAAAUUUCAUUUCUAAUGAUUAAUAUAAAUACCCUUUUUAUGUAUCCCUAAUUUUAACAUAGUGAAAAUCCUCUUUUCCUGUUCCCAUGGACGUAGGCAAUUAGGUGAACCACGUUAAAUCUCUAUGUUCUUCUUUCUCGUUUUUCUAUUUUUUUUUGUCAUUAAUCGUUGCAUGGAUUCCAAUAAUUUUCAAUUCAAGUCUUUCGAAUUCUCCCCUCUUAGACUAGAUGUUUAAAGUACUUAGAAGGCAAAUAUAAGUGAUUGAGGUCUUUUCAAUUUAAUGAGUAUUUUAAUUAUUUGUUUAUAUUUUUUUCCCUUUUUUUUUUGGUGCAUAAGAAGCAUUGAGAGUUUUUAGUGGGGUUUUUUUUACUAAGUUUUUUUAGUCUAUUUAAUGAUUGAUCCAACCUUAAGUAUGAUAGAUCCAUCUUUAAAAUUGUAUGAAAUUUCGAGUGUUGGAUUGAGUGCUCUUCUUAUUACUUAAACCCAAAUUAUCAUUUUAGGGUUUAGAAAAACUUGAUAGUUGUCAUACCUCGUCCCAUUGUGCUCCUUGGUCAUUCCAAUUUGGAAGUGUUUGUUGCCUUGGAGAAUCUAUCAUGUUUUAAGCUAUAUAUGAAACUAUUUUUAUUAAAUUUUGUCACAAAAUGUGAAUUGAUUCAUUUGGUUCUUCUAUCCAAUCUCUCAUUGUCGUUAUUAAAUUGGGGUAAGACAUUAUUUAUUUAUUUUAUUGAACUUCAAGAAAUGAUUGAAAUUGAGUUUGAUGUUGACUUCAAGUGUGAUUUAGAAGAAGGUAUGUAAUUGAAGUUAGAAUGUGUUAGUCAAGUAGUCUAAGAGUGGAUUGGUGGACAUUUUUUAUUGCUUGCAAGCUCAUAAUGCCUUUUUUUUGGUUUUUUAUUUUUUUUUGUCUCUUCGGAGAUUUUCUAUGUUAAAUCUUUGAGUUAGUGAAUGAGCUAGAAUUUGUAUUAGUGUUUAUGAAAUUUACAAUGUUUUAAUGAGUUGUUGGUUGAGGGAAUGAGCUGAAAUUUAAUCAUUUAAGCCUUGGAAAUUUUAAUAUAAUUUUUUCCAUUGUGGAGUUAAUUAGUGGAUAUUUGGACAUGUGAUUUGAGAUGUCGAAAGCUUAUGCAAAUCUUGAUUGUGGAGCAUUAUUUCAUUUGCAUAUGAAUUUCAUUGAUUAAAUUAUUAUUCAAAAGAUUGAAAAAGAAAAAUAAGAAAAAUUUUAGGGAGUGAUAACCUUUCUUUGCAAACCAUCUCAAAUUUAUAAAAACAAUAGAGAUAGAACUUUUAAAAGCAUGAUAUGGUGUAAUAAAAUAAAAUAAAAUUUUAUUAAUAUAUUAAUAUAUUCUGAUUUCACUUUCCACAAUUCUAUCUAUGUUUGCAUUAAUAUUUACGUAAAUAUUCAGUUCAUCAUCAUUUGCAUUAUACAUGACUUUUCCUUCCUUCCUUACUCAUUAGUACUUUUACCAGUGUUGUAUUGUCUUGUCCCUCCUACUCCAUGGUGUACUUGUGCAAGACAUAAAAAUACAUUUUUCCCCUGUGUUGUACCCCUUCCAAACCGAUGAUGCAGGAUUGCAAGCAUAAGACUGUUUGGUUUCGAAAAAUCUAAAGGAAAAUACAAAAGAAAGAAAAUGGAGAGGAAAAACAAAAUAAAAGAAAAAAAAUGAAAAAAAACAUAGAUGUAAAAUCAAUAAAUUAUUUUUGUAUAUUACUUCAAACUCAUUUAACUUAAUUUAAUUUAUUUAAGUUUCUAAUUAAUUUUAAUUAUAUUUGAUUUUUUUUCAUAUCUUUCAUAAUAAAACCAAAUAUAAGAAAAUCAUUUUUUUCAUUUUGUAACAUUUUUUUUAUUUGUUAGUACUUUUUGAGAACUAAACAUAACCUAAAAUGUUUCUCAACAAAUUCAUGUUGUUCGACCAAUUUCUUGUAACAUGUUCAUGUUGAUCAAAAAAAAAAAAAAAUACUCAACUUUGAUGAUGUUCAUGUUGAUCAAAAUUGAAACAAAUACUCAACUUUGAUCAUCAAAAAGUGAUUUUAUUCACGUAAUUUAUCAUGAAAACUAAUCAUAAGACUAAACGUUCUACAAAAGGAGCACAUAAAAGUUACAAAAAGACAAUUUUAAAAUACAUUGUUUAAGGCUUUUUGAAAGCAAAUCUUCAAUCAUCUUUAUAAAGCCUUAUUUUGAUUAAAACAAACAAUAUCAGGGGAUCAAUAUGAUUAUCCCUAACAAAUAGUCAUCCUCCAAGUGUUGGAUCAAAAGGCUUGAAUAAAUUUUAUUGUGCUUUGCAGGGGAUUUUGAGGGUCAUGCUCCGCGUUGAGCUCAUGAGGAUCUAGGAUACCCUAUUGUAUUUUAGCCCUCUUAUGUAUCUUAAUAGAAAGUUUUCUUAUUAUAUUUUAACUCUCUUAUGGUUUAAGGUUUUGUUUUAGGGACAAAUUAAAAUGUUUGGUCACAAUAGAAAGAAGAGCGAGAGUCUUUAUCCUUGUAAUUUUCUUAUUCAUUUGAUUAAUAAAUUCUUGAGUGUUGGUGUACUUCGUGAACAUAAGGAUCAUAUUAAUUACCAAACCAUUUUAAAAAAAAUUUGUCUUUUAUUUAUUUUUGUUGGUGUGUGGUUUGCUUAACACCAAGUUGGCUUAUAUUAAUUGGUGAUUAAAUUAAUCAUGAUUUUCAUUUAGUUAAAUCUGCAAUAAGGAAAAUCCCAUGAUGAUAGCCCUAUCACCACCCACGAAUAUUUCUACUUUAACAUACAUAGGUUUACAAGGGAAAAAGAAAAAUAAGAAGAAAGGGAAUCACAACAUUAGUCAUUAAUUUCUCUAUCACUUCAACUUGCUCAACUGUCUAAUGAUUACAUAUCUUGCUCACCAAGAUAUUUUUAUCCUAUAUUCCAAUUCAAAUUAUCAGAUAAGAUAGCCUACGUCUACGCAUAUAUACCUCCAUCCCUACUGAUAACUUGCGUGUGGAUAUAUAAAUAAAAAAAUAUGUAUAGAAAUAUAAAACAUAUAGCUUUGCAAAAAAUCCGUAGAGGCUUUCAACAAUUCUCCAUUCAUUUCUUGUCAUUCCCAGUACUGCUGCCUGAUUUUGAAUGCUCCCUGAAGAAGCUAACAUUCUUGUAGGAAAAUAUUGGACAGUUCAUUCCACCAUUUUUUGAGUAUAGAGAUGCAUCUACAUUUUUUGUAGUUUUCUUUUAUAGGCCAAGAGAGAGUCCCUUAAGGAGGAGAAAACUCCCUUUUAUAACCACUUUUCCUUGUGAAUGAGCAUAAGUAAGUGAUUUUCGUAGUAGGUCAACAAACUUUUUGCAAGGAUAAGGAUAGUUGGACUCGUCUUUUUAUACACAAGUUAGUCGUCUUUUUUUAUGGUUCUGGGUUUGGGAUGAGAUGAUUUUAUGCGUUUUCAGGUACUUUGUUUGGGAGGUGGUAUAUUAAAGAUAUGCUGAUUUUUGAGCACCUCUACUCCCAAUCUCUCACAUUCACCCCACUCCCUAUAUGUACAUUAAUUAGGAAAUAUAGCACAAAAUACGAAGAAUAUGAAAAGGGAACAAAUAAAUUUAUGAACAGUGACCCACAAGAUGGUGAAAAAUAGAGGUAGCCUAGGUAGAAAGGUUGCCAAAAUGUUGAACCGUUGGAAAAAAGAAAAUACAAAUAUGGUACUUACCUCUAAAAUGGAACACCUAAGAAGCAUGAGUCACUUUUCCCCCCUUUGGGUGUAACACAAGCAUUGUGUGUUGAAUUACUUGAAUUGUAACCGCACCUCAAUUACCUCUUCAGCUUCAAUUCCUCAGAGCCCAAACUGUGUGACCAACAAACUAAUCCCCCCACGUCCAUACCUGCAUUUCUUGAUCAAUUUCCCUCCCAUGGCAUGCAAGAAACAAUCCAGCUUUUCUAUAUAUCAUAAAUUCACUACACAUCUUUAUAAAGACACCUGCCAGACCACUAAAGUUCUGAGAAUUUGAUCAUGAAAAGUCUGUUUGAAAAGCAACUAUCUCCCGGUACUUCCAACAAUUCAUCAAGUAGUGGGCAAUCUAGAGAUGAUCAAGAGCUGGGCUCUCAUGCAGUACCCAAGAAUGGAGAUCAUGUUCGCAAGAAAAACUCAUGGUUUUGCUGUUCUCCACCUGAUCACAUGGAUCUGAACCCUGCUCGAAUGGUAAGUUAGGAGGUUAAAACAUUCCAAGAAGCUAGUCUCUCAUGAAACUCACUAUGUGAUACAUUUUCAUUGGGUCUUAGCCAUUUGAGUUUAACAAAUAUGCAGAUUUUAGCAGAGAUGGUGGGGACUUUCAUUCUGGUUUUCUGUGUAUAUGGGAUUGAAGCAGUUACCCAGCUAAUGAAAGGCGAAGUGGGUCUCUUGGAGUAUGCAGUCACUGGAGGGUUGACAGUAGUAGUGUUGGUUUUCUCCAUUGGGUCCAUCUCCGGAGCACAUGUAAACCCUUCUGUCACCAUAACCUUUGCUACCCUUUGCCAAUUCCCAUGGUCCAAGGUAGUAGUAGUAGUCAACAACUUCACCUCCUAAUCAAUUUGAAUGUUUAUUGAGAUCCAAUGUUGAAGUUGUUCCUAAUUACUUGUCCCAAAGGUUCCAUACUACAUAUCGGCACAAAUAGUAGGUUCGGUGCUGGCAACGUACGUGGGAAGGUCUAUCUAUGGCAUAAAACCAGAACUUAUCACUACCAAGCCGCUGCAAGGCUGCAGUUCUGCCUUCUGGGUCGAGUUCAUCGCCACAUUCAUCAUCAUGUUCCUAGCUGUAUCUUUGACAAGCCAACCUCAAUCUGUAAGAAAAGAAUAAAAGAAUAAAUAAAUAAAAAACAAGAAGCCAUUUUUGGGUAAUCUUUAUGCUUCAUUUGAUUAUUGAGAAACUGCAGGUAAGCCACUUGUCUGGUUUCGUCGUUGGAAUAGCCAUUGGACUUGCAGUGCUAAUCACAGGGUAUACAUAUAUAUACAAACUCAAUAUUACUGUACUAUGUCUCUACCAUUUUAAUCACAGUUUGUGUUGGUUUCUUUGGUAUUUCCAUUACAGGCCUGUUUCAGGAGGAUCAAUGAAUCCAGCAAGGUCCUUGGGACCUGCAAUUGUUUCGUGGAAAUUUGACGACAUAUGGAUUUAUACAAUCGCCCCAACUCUUGGAGCUGUGGCAGGAGGUCACCUGUUUCAUCUGUUACGUCUCCGGCACCAGCCUUGCACCCCCAAUUCCUCUCCCAACACCAUUCUACUAAGCAACGCCUUCCAGUAGGCUUUGGUGGAACUGAGUGUAGAAGAAGGUAGCAGGAAGAGGAUGCUGCUGCUGCAUUUUUCUAUUAAUUUAUCUGGUGUUUGAGAAUAUUUAGUGUAAAUUUAAUAUGGCUUUUUGCCUCGACUUAUCUAUACUGCUUAUUUUACUAUUUUUGAUAAAAAAAAAAAUUAAAAAUGGAACUUCAACUUUCCUAUGUUGUACACUCAAUUACUUAAUUUAUGAUUUAAGUGUUAGAUCAUCCAUUCAAACUUAUUUUUUACAUGUUGGAUUUGAAUGAAUAAAAACUUAUUUUUUACAUGUUGGAUUUGAAUGAAUAAAAAAAGCGGAAAAUAGAAAUAAAUGUCAUAUUUGAUAACUGUUUUCAAAAAUAUAUUUUUGUUCUCCUAGAUAUAAAAAUAAAAAAAUAUGUUUGAUAAUUAGAAAAUAAAAAACAAAGCAUUUUUAAAUAAUAUCUUUUAAUUAUUUUUUAAUUCUUAUUUUAAAAAUAUAGAAAAUGUGUUAAAAAUAUUUUAGAUUCUUAAACAAAUUUUUGUUCUAAAAACAACUUUUAAAAAUACUUCCUAAAUAGAGCCAAAUUCUCAUUUUAUCUUAAUAUUUAAUAGGGAUUAUAAAUCAUGCAAUAAUCUCAUUCCCUUAAAAAUGACGAUUUAAGAAACAAUUUCAAAAUGGAUAUAUUAUGAAUUAAUUAAUUACCGUCAUAAGUUUCAAGAUGAUUAAGCCACAAGAUUAAGUAUUAAUCAUAUAAAAAAGUUUAAAUGGACAUCAAUAAAAACUAAUUAAUUGUUAGAUGGAUGGCUAUAGCUUUCGGGUUGAGAGACAAAUCCUAGGUUUAACUCAUUGGAGCACGUCUGUUGGGGAAGGAAUUGUUAAACAUAUAUAUGACACAUGCUCCAUGACAACUCGAGAAAUAGCUUAAUUUAAGUUAAUAAUUUCGUUCCAUUCUUCUUAACUUAGACGACUUUCUAUAUUAUUAUAUCUUACUCUCUAUUGAAGAUUUAAGUUUAUUGUGUAAUUAAUUGGAAUGAUACAAGUAAAUAUAGAGAACUUCGAGAAAGUCUAAUUGGGAUCAAUUAUGGCAUGAAUUGGAUGUUAAAUUUUUAAUUAAGCUAAAACUCUCUUAAAAUUGGUUUUAAAACUUUGUGUGAGUGCACAAGUGAUGCUCCUAGCACUCAAAGCACUUCUUGGCUCGAAGCUCAAGCACUCCUUAAGGUGUUUGAAUUCUUUUUGUAUUUUUAAAUUAUUUGUUUUAGGAAAAUUCUAGAUUUCGCCUACAAGGCAUUUGGUCCUCUAAAUACUAUACUAUAAAAGUUUUUGCUCUUUGAUGCAAACUUUGGAAAAAAAAAAUGGAUUUUUAGUCUUCAUGUAUCCCAAAAUUCUCAAAAGUUGUGUUUUUUCUCGUGCCUUAGGCUUAAGAGAAAGAUCUGCAUCCCUCAUGUGUUGAGUUGUUGACAUGAAAACUAGUGUAAAUUUGGGAGUAAGUUUUAGGGAUAACAUGCAUACUUUUCUUUUAAUGGUAGCUUUGUGUGUUGAGAUAUUAUGAUAUAUUCUAGGAAAGUAGUUGCUAUUGUUUAGAAUUGUUUCCUAAAUGUUGAGAUAUUAUGAUAUAUUCUAGGAGCUAUUGUUUAGGAUUGUUUCCUAAACUCACGGCAUUGUUUAGGAAUGUUUCCUAAACUCACGGUUUUCCCUUAAUUAGGUUUGCUUGAUGUACUAUAUAUUUACAUGGAUGAAUAUCAAUUAGGGUUAAGCUUUGACCCUUUAAUCACACUUUACAUGGUAUCAGAGCACUGACAUGCACACACAAUAAAACAAUGGCCGGCGAUGAUGAACAACCACCAUUGCCGCCACCUAAAAGGGAGAUGAAUUCACCUUUUUUUCUCGGCACAGGAGACGGACCAGGCGACUUCAUCACUCCCACUCACUUACGCGGCGACAAUUACGAUGAUUGGGCUUCCGAUAUUCAGUUGGCAUUGGAGGCACGUCGCAAGUUCGAAUUUUUGGAAGGCACUAUCACCGGACCACAACCUCCAUAUACCCAAUCUGAUUGGAACACCGUCAAUGCAAUGUUGGUUUCUUGGAUUACAAACACAAUCGAUCCCGAGGUAAAGAGUACCCUAUCUAAAUUUCGUGAUGCAAAACGCUUAUGGGAGCAUCUUAAGCAACGAUAUGCUAUGGUUAAUGGCCCAAGAAUUCAACAGUUAAAGACUUCAAUUGCUAAGUGUGAGCAAUCGAAAUCUAUGUCUGUUACAACUUACUAUGGCAAAUUGAAUGUAUUAUGGGGGGAAUUAUUUAAGCAUGAACCGUUAAUUUCUUGCACUUGUUGUUCGUCUUGUACUGCCGCAUCAUUGCACCAAGCAAGACGUGAACAAGGAAAAUUACAUGACUUCUUGAUGGGACUCAACAUUGAUCUGUACGCUUAAUUACGAACCAAUAUCAUUUCUCAAGAUCCCUUGCCUUCGCUUGAUCGAGCGUACCAACUGGUGAUACAAGAUGAGCGUGUGCGGCUCGCCAAGGCAGUCACAGAAGACAAGCCAACAAAGGUCCUUGGCUUUGCUGUCCGUACAGGUGCUGGAAGAGGACGAGGAAAAACGGAGAGGCCUGUGUGUAGCCACUGUAAGAAGACGGGGCAUGAGACUUCAACUUGCUGGUCCCUCGUUGCUUGUCCUCACUGUCACAAGCAUGGCCAUGACAAAAAUAAUUGUUAUGAAAUAGUGGGUUAUCAUGAGGGGUGGUUGGAUCAAAACAAGGUUGAUGGGGGUGUUGGACGUAGUCGUCAGCAGGCUGGUCGUGGGCGUGGUUCAGCUCGUGCUAAAGCGGCAAGUAGCACAAUUGGAGCAUCCUCUACUAAAAGUUCUACCGAUCAACUCUUCACACCCGAACAAUGGAAAGCUCUUGCGGGCUUAAUUGGUAAUGCUCAAGUUCCGGAUGACAGGUUGAAUGGUAAGUUUGACACGAAGUCAUGGAUCAUUGACACCGAGGCAACUCAUCACGUGACCAGUGAUUUAUCUUGGUUAUUUGAUACUAUAACGUUGUUUGAGUGUCCGGUUGGCCUUCCUAAUGGUGAAUCUGUUGUUGCGACCCAAUCCGGUUCCGUUCGUUUGUCGAAUAACAUCACCCUUAAAAACGUUCUUUAUGUGCCGAAACUCAAUUGCAAUUUACUUUCGGUUUCACAAUUGACUGAUGACUUACAUUGUAUUGUCCAAUUUAACUCUUAUAUGUGUGCUAUACAGGACCACACCAGGGAGCUGAUUGGAACGGGAGUUAGGCGAGAUGGACUUUACUACUUCGGUAGAGCUGAAGGUGAUUCGGUACAACAUGUUUCUGUCCACAACGCAGCCUCCACUUUGGAGUUGUGGCACAAAAGGAUGGGACAUCCUUCAGAGAAAGUAGUGAAGUUACUUCCUCCAGUUAGCAAUCUUAAGGGUAGUUUAAACAAAGCUUGUGAAAUAUGUUUUCGUGCUAAGCAUCCUAGAGACAAAUUUCCUUUAAGUGACAAUAAGGCAACUAGAAUUUUUGAGAAAAUACAUUGUGAUUUGUGGGGCUCUUAUAAACAUGUCUCUUCUUGUGGAGCUCGUUAUUUUUUAACUAUUGUUGAUGAUUUCUCAAGAGCUGUGUGGAUUUAUUUGUUGGUCGAUAAAACAGAAGUUUUUCGGAUGUUUAUGUCUUUUAUUGUAAUGGUAGAUCGACAAUUUUCUCAAACAGUGAAAGUUGUUCAAAGUGAUAAUGGUACGGAAUUUAAAUGCCUACUUGACUAUUUUUCUGCAACUGGCAUUUUAUUCCAAACUUCUUGUGUGGGAACUCCGCAACAAAAUGGGAGGGUUGAGAGAAAACACAAGCAUAUUUUAAAUGUGGGGAGGGCAUUAUGCUUUCAAGCAAAUUUGCCUAUUUAUUUUUGGGGCGAAAGUGUUCUUGCCGCUGCUCAUUUAAUAAACCGCACUCCCUCUCCUUUGUUACACAAUAAAACACCAUUUGAAAUCCUAUUUGGCACCCCUCCUUCAUAUGCGGCAAUUCACACCUUUGGUUGUCUUAGUUUUGCUCAUGAUCAAAAAUCCAAAGGUGACAAAUUUGCAAGUAGAAGUAGAAAAUGUGUGUUUUUGGGUUACCCGUUUGGAAAGAAGGGGUGGAAGUUGUUUGAUUUGGACACCAAGGAAUUAUUUGUUUCUCGUGAUGUCAAGUUUUUUUAGGAUGUUUUUCCGUUUGGUAACCCGGGUGCUGUGAAUAUUAUUCCGGACAACAUUGUGCCUACGGUAAAUGUUGAAAUUGAUAGUGAUUUUGCUGAUUUUGUCGAUGAUGAUGCUGAUUUACCUAACCCACAAGCCCAAACACAAAAUCCCAACCUCAUCCAACCUGAACCCCAAGCCCACCAAGAUCUUUCACCUGGGCCGAAAGUUAUUCCCACUGUUGGGCUUGAUUCACUUGGGCUUGACAAUACAAGCAAUGGGCAGUCUGCUCCUAUGGGAAAGGGAAUGAGGGAUAAAUUUCCUUCGGUUCUAUUACGAGAUUUUGUUACUCAUACGGUGGUUACUGAAAGUCCAUCUCCCGCCACUCCGUCUCCACAGCAUCCCUCAGGUACUCCUUAUCCCAUAGCACAUUAUAUAAAUUGUGACAAUUUUUCUGUACAUUAUCGAAAGUUUCUUGUAGCUAUUAUUUCGAGCAAUGAUUCUAAGUCAUUUAAAGAGGCUAUGAAAUAUGUCGGUUGGCAAAAGUCAAUGCAUGAGGAGAUUCGGGCUUUGGAGGAAAAUGGUACGUGGACUCUUGAACCUCUUCCAAAGGGUAAGCGUGCUUUGGGAAGUCAGUCGGUUUACAGAACCAAGUACUUCUCAAACGGUGAUAUUGAAAGGCUCAAAUCCAGAUUAGUAGUUUUGGGGAAUCAUCAAGAAGCCGGUAUUGAUUAUCAUGAGACUUUUUCUCCAGUUGCCAAAAUGACUACGGUGCGUGCUUUCUUGGCUAUUGCGGCUUCGAAAAAUUGGGAACUUCAUCAGAUGGAUGUUCACAAUGCCUUUUUGCAUGGAGAUCUUGAGGAAGAAGUGUAUAUGAAGCUACUCCCAGGUUUUGAGAGUUCCGAUCCGAACUUGGUUUGUAGGUUACGGAAAUCACUUUAUGGGUUGAAACAGGCUCCGAGAUGUUGGUUUGCCAAGUUGGUCACGGCUCUUAAAGGAUAUGGUUUCUUAUAAUCCUACUCUGAUUAUUCUCUUUUUACUUACACUAAGGGCAAUGUUCAAAUAAAUGUGCUAGUGUAUGUCGACGAUCUUAUUAUCUCUGGGAAUGAUUCCGCUGCACUUAAGACCUUUAAAGCCUAUCUCAGUGAUUGUUUUAAGAUGAAAGAUCUUGGUGUUUUGAAGUAUUUCCUCGGAAUCGAGGUGGCCAGGAGUUCGGCUGGUUUGUUCUUGUGUCAACGCAAGUACAAACUUGACAUUAUAUCGGAGGCCGAAUUACUGGGAGCUAAGCCGUGUGGCUUCCCGAUCGAGCAAAAUCACAGAUUAGGACUCGCAAAUGGGGAGCUCUUAUCGAACCCUGAGUCCUAUCGCAGAUUAGUAGGUCGACUCAUUUAUCUGGCAGUGACCCGUCCAGAUUUGGCCUACUCGGUUCAUAUAUUAUCUCAAUUUAUGCAGGAGCCUAGAAUUGAGCAUUGGGAGGCGGCUUUGAGAGUCGUUCGUUAUUUGAAAGGUACUCCGGGUCAGGGUAUCUUGUUACGUGCAGAUAGUGAUCUGUCCCUGUAGGGUUGGUGUGAUUCUGAUUGGGCAGCAUGUCCAGUCACUAGAUGCUCUUUGUCCGGAUGGCUUGUGUUUCUUGGGCAAUCUCCUAUUUCUUGGAAGACAAAGAAGCAACACACAGUUUCCCGCUUGUCUGCAGAAGCAGAAUACCGAGCUAUGGCAGCAGUUACUUGUGAGCUCAAAUAGUUGAAGGGUUGCUUCUGAGCUUGGGUGUGCACCACCCAAAGGCAAUCAAGCUCUUUUGUGAUAGUCAGUCAGCCCUUCAUAUGGCCAAAAAUCCAGUAUUUCAUGAACGCACCAAACACAUUGAGGUUGAUUGUCACUUUGUUCGGGAUGCGAUAACAGAUGGUUUGAUUGCUCCGUCAUAUGUUCCUACUGUUACACAAUUGGCGGAUAUUUUUACAAAGGCUCUUGGAAAGAAACAAUUUGAUUAUCUUCUUGCCAAGUUGGGCAUUUUUGAACCUCAUGCUCCAACUUGAGGGAGGGUGUUGAGAUAUUAUGAUAUAUUCUAGGAAAGUAGUUGCUAUUGUUUAGGAUUGUUUCCUAAAUGUUGAAAUAUUAUGAUAUAUUCUAGGAGCUAUUGUUUAGGAUUGUUUCCUAAACUCACGGCAUUGUUUAGGAAUGUUUCCUAAACUCACGGUUUUCCCUUAAUUAGGUUUGCUUGAUGUACUAUAUAUUUACAUGGAUGAAUAUCAAUUAGGGUUAAGCUUUGACCCUUUAAUCACACUUUACAUUGUGUAAUAUGGUCUUUGGUGAUCUUAUAGUUUUUACAUCCAUAUAGUCUUUGGAAGACUUCGUAAAUGGUUUUCCACAUAAAAAUCAUUUUGUCUCGUGCGAUUUAUUUCUCUACCUUCUCUCUAUUUAUUAAAGAUGAAUUAAAAAUAAAAAUUUGGAUUAAAAGAAGUUAAUACCUAUUCACCCCUCCACGUGUUCAAUAAAUAAAAUCUACAAACUUCAUUGAGGAUAGGUAUAUUGUAGGAUAGGUAGGCCUAAGAAUUGCUAGGCACAUAACAAUCACUCAUCAAAAAAUAACGACUCAAUAAAUGGUUAAGAAUGAAUGUGCAUAAGUUUCCACUAUAAGAUCUCGUAUGAGUAUGAUGUUAAACUUAAUAAAAAGGCUUAGAAUGACUUAAAAAUGGAUAUAUUAUGCAAUAAUUAUGUUCCAUUUAACCUAAUAGAAAAUGGUUAAGUUUAUAUUUAUUUUUUCUAUUUUUAAAAUAAUUUAUCAUCCAUCGCCAUGAAAAUUUCAUUCCCCCACCAAAUGUGCGAAGUAGGAAUAAGGGUCUCCAAUGGGCCAGGCCGGGCGGUCCGGCCCGAAGGAGUAAAGCCCAUGGCCCAGCCCAGGGGGGCCACUGAGCCCGUUGACUGGUCAACGGGCCGGGCCGGACCCUUGAUAUAUCUAAGGCCCGUGGGCCCUCAAGCUGGAUGGGCUUGGCGGGCCAGGGUAAAAAUUAAAAUAAUUUUUAAUUUUGGAGGGAAGGGGUUCGAAUCCCCUUCCCUUAUAGAACCAUAAGGGAGCUAGCCACCAACUGAGUUGGCCCUCUUUUGUGUAACUAUUUUGCAUUAAUUAUAUAUAUAUUAGAAAUGUUGUAUGAUUUUUGAAAAAAAAUAAAAGUGAGUUGGUUGUUCAACGGUUACAUAACCAUUGAACAUGUCACUCAUAAUUCAAUUUCAAAUAUAUGACCGUUGAACGAUCUUGAAAUUUUUUUUUUAAAAAAAAAUUAAAUCCUAAUAUUUAAAUCCCUAUAAAUAUUAAAUACCCUCAAUUUUUUUCUAUUCUCUCAACUCUUAAGCUCUCUCCCAUUCCACAAUAUUUCCGAUUAUUGCAUUUUGUCUCAAAUUAUUCAAUAUUAUUGGUGGUGAAAAAUAAGCAUUGGUGGUUCAAAGAGUUCAAAUUUGAAGGAAUUUCUGCUUCGGUUCUCUAAUUUAGUAACAUACUUCACCUUUUCUUUUAUUUAUUUGUUACAUUUUAAUUUUACAUUUAUUAUUUUUAACAUAAUAUUUUAUCAAUAAUUAUAAUUAUGGCAAGUGGUUCUUGUUCUUCAUCUAAUGCAUGUGAUAGCAAAAAAUUUACUUCAAAUAUAUGAAUUUUUUUUUAUAGAAUAGAAAUAAAUUUAGAAAAUAAUAAAAAAGAAAUAAAAGCAAAAUGUAAAAUUUGUAACAAACUUCUUAGUGGUGGCUCAAAUGCAGGUACAAGUCAUUUAAAAAUGCAUCAUGAAAAUUGUAAAACUAAAAAUAAUGUAGAUAUUAGAAAUUAUAUGCAAUUAGGUAAAGAUGAAAGUGGAAAUUUAAAAACAUUUUCUUAUGAUGAAUCUUAUUGUCGUGAAGAAAUGAUUGGUUAUAUAAUAAGAGCAGAACAACCUUUCAAUUUUACUAGUUCGCUAUAACCGCCAAGAGAUAAUGAUUAAAAUAUUUUAUUAAAUGUAUGUCAUAUUUUUAUUUUUAUUUUUAUAGUUGAAAAGUACAAAUGAUUGACAAAUAAGUAGGUACCAACCUAGUUGGGAUGUAUUUAUUUUGUAGUAAUGUAAAUUUUUCCCACAUUUUUAAAUGUAAUGUAUACAUUUAAUGAAUAAAAUAGUUAACAAUGAAUAUUUUUAUUAAUAUAACAUUUUCUAUUUCUUGAAAUUUUUUUUUAAUAUAUAUUUUAAAGUGACGGGCCUACGGGCUGGGCCUAAGGGCCGGGCCUAAUUUGGGGCCCAUGGCCCGGCCCAUCCAGAAAUGGGCUCGGGCCGGGCCCCGGGCCCCGGGCUUUUUGGAGACACUAAGGAAUGAGAAAAUGCCGGACGUGCGUUUUCCCACUAAACAAACGUGCCCUUAACGAGCAGAGCAAGUCCACCCGCCGCUUUGUCCCUUGUACAAUUCGCCGUACCCGAAAGUGAGAAGAACUAAAUUUCGAAAAAGAAAUGCAUUCGUACGGGUAUAGAGCAAACGGUGUGCUCUCAUUGUCAUUGACUAUUCUAGCCCUACUCUGCACUGUCGCCUCUCUCUCCGGCGGUAUUCUCAAUCUCCCUCCUCCUUCCGCCCAAGUUGAGGUCUCUCUCUCUCUCUCUCUCUCUCUAUUUAUAUACUUACGGAUGUAUUCAGAUCUGGUACCUAUGUUUUGAUAUCGGUAGGUGGUAAACAUCAAUUGGUUUCAGAAGCACCGAAGUGGAAACGACGAGGUAAAUUCAUUCUUGAUUUCGAAAAGAAAAUAUUUGGAUGUCAAGUCUCAAUGAUAAUAGAUUCUCCAUUGUAUGACUUGAAAAUUAAUUUUGAAUUUCUUUUAAAAGAUUUGAAGCUUAGAUUCUUGGAAAGCUAAUUUUGAAGUGCUGAAAAAGGGAUCCUAGUAUGCUUGCUUGAUUCAUCGAUUUCUUUUGGCUCUUGGAUAGAAUGAGAGCAAAAUGGAAUGAAAUUGUGUUUAAAAGAUUGUAAAAUUUGAAUUUCCUUGAAGAAAUUUUUUGAGCAUUUCUGUGUGCUUGCAAAGAAUGUAAUGGAUGGUGGAUCUUUGACUUCACAGAAUUUGUGUUGUGCUUCAUUCUGAAAGAAAAUACAAAGGUGUAUCAGCAGUGAUUUGUGUGAAAUCAUAUAUUUUUCAAGGAAUUUUUUUUUUGUUUGUUGUUUGUUGUUGCUAUAUAAAAUGAUGAUCAUUAACAACUAUUUAAGGACUGCCAUAGAUGGAAAAGAUUGAUACUCUAAUUAGUAAUAAGGAAAUGAUGGUUUUACCAUGGGGAAGUCAAGCCAACUAUUCACAAUGAUGCUUUGCUAUGUUGACAUGUUGGCUUUUGAUUAAGCCCUCAUCUAUAGAACCAUUUUUUAGUGCUUGCUAUUUGGCAGUUGGACUUCCAGCCAUUGCUCUUUGAGUGAUGCAGGAGAGAAGUUAUUGAGAUGUUUAUGAGGAUCCUCUGUCCAUUAUUGCUGUCAAUGCUUAUGCUCAGGAAUCACUUCUCUAACAUCUAAUUAGUUGAAUUUUAUAUUAGUAACUACAACCAAAAAAAAGGUGUGUUCUGAACAUAGUGUUCUGUUGUAAACUGAGAAGGAAUGAUAAGAAUGAAGCAUGCAUCAUAAAUAAGUAAUCCAAUUUAUUUCUUUGAAUGCAUAUUUGGUGUGCAAAUAUUUACAUGUCAUGUCAUUGAGUCUUUUUUUAGAAGCAUCUAGGAGAACCUGUUGGUAAUGCAAUGCAUUUUAAUUUCCAAUGAUAAAUUGAAUCUGCAAUACAAUAGGCUUUGUUGUUAAAAUUUAGAGGUUGCUUAAAGUCAGGUCAAAGUUCUUCUGUUGUUGUAUUUUUAUAUUUAUUUAUAAUCCUUUUUCAAUAGUUUGAUGGAUGAUGUGCACCUAGAUAGAACUUGAUGACCGACAAGGAUUCAGCACACCAACUCAAUAUUGGGAUUUUAAGGGUUUAUUUUUGUUGUUGUUGUAUAUGGUUUAUUCAUGUAUCCUUGAAGCAUUUUGAUCUAUUUAUUUAGGUCGUUGAAGUCAUCCAACUUCUACUUUAUGUAGGUCAGCUUGACAUUAAAUAUUUCAGCAAAUCUUGAGUCAUUGUUUACUUGGAACACGAAACAGGUAUAUCAACCAACUCUUUUAUUUGCUUACAAACGAUAUCUUGCAAAAUGCUUUAAAUGCUCUAGAAUGUUAAUGGCUGGACUCAUACCUUUUGUGUCUACUGUAGUGAUUUAAUCAAUACUUUUUUGGAAAAUAAGAAAAAACUUGUGAAUUUUAUUAGAUGUGCAAGUGAGACAUAUCUUAAACUCUCCUUGUAUCUACUUCCAUGAUGUAAAUAACCAAAUAACCCUUACAAAUUUUACAUUGUCCUAUAGGAACUUUCUAUGUGACUAAUAUACAUAGUUGUUAACUCAUAAAAUGCAUCAUUUUCAUGUCAUAUACGCAAGUUUUUUUAUAUAGUAAAAAGUAAAUAAAAAGAAUAUGAAUACAUGUGUGUGUGUAUUGAAAGCAUGAAGUACAAAAUAUUAUAUAACCAAUUUUAUGAAAGAUAGUAGGAUUUAAAGAGUUAAACUAUGUCAUACCAUAUGAAAACAUUGAGUGCUAGAUUUUUUGAAAGUUAAAUUUAAUAACAUAUGAGUUUAAUGCAUAGGUUUAUCAUUAAAUCCACUAAAAUAAACUUUUUGAAUUUUUAGAUAUGAUUUUUAGUUUCAAAUUCUAACUAAGCAUAUGUACUUAUAUGGUUAUGAGUAUGCAUAUCUAUAUGCGUCAUCUCUAAAGUUCCAACUUUUUAUGUUUGUCAUCAUUUUUUCCCCAUAAAUAAAUAACAACAACAAUAAAGACCAAAAAAAACAAAUAUAUUAAGUAAAAGUUUUUAUUCACCAAUCAUCAUCAUUUUCAAUGUCAACAAAAAAUAAAAACAACAACAAAGACCAAAAAGACUAAUAUAUUGAGUAAAAGUUUUUAUUCAUCGAUUAUCUUUGUUUUCAAUGUCAACAUUCAAUUCAUUAAAAUGAAAAUUCUUCAAUAUUUAUUGUCAGAAUAAAUUUACUUAGGUUCUAACAUUAUAUUUGACAAUAAGAAUGUAGUUUUUCAUAUAAGAUUAUUUUACUUCUCUACCUUCUAUGAUCAAUUUCUAAUCUUAUUGUCCAUUUUAAACAAAUAAUAUAAUAGUUUUUUAAGAAAAAAAAUUUGGAUUUAAUUUUUAAAAAAAUCAUUAAAAAUAGUUAGGGGUGUAUGUGUUGUUGUAUCACAUAUUAUAUCAUGUAUCACAUGUAUAUCUAUCAUAAAUUACACUGAAGAUAAUAUAGGAAUUAUGAUACAUAUUGACAUUCAUUAAAAAUUAUAUCGUAUUGUUGUAUGUAUAUCUUUUUACAUCGAUUUGUGCCCCCUCUCUCUCUCUCUCUCCCUCCCCCUAAUUUUAUGUACGCAAUGGAAAUUCACAAUAUAGGAGAUAGUAUCUAACUGAGAAUUUAAUAUUGCAGAUAUUUGUCUUCUUAGCAGCUGAGUAUGAAACCCCAAAGAAUUCGUUGAAUCAGGUAUGCUGUAAUAGAUUGUGAUGCAAAUGCCUUUGCAGGGUUGUGUUCCUUUUUUUCUUUAUUUUGGGCACAAGUUGCUGCACUUUUAUGUUGCAUGAUAGUAUGGAGACUUGUGGUGGUUGUUGAACUAGUUUCCAUUCACUUGUUCCCUUUGUGUCUUAGUAGGAAUUCAACAUUAUUGUUGCUUUCUUGGCAAUCUUUCAUAUGCUUAGCCUCCAUUUCUAUAUGCAACAGCCCUCAAUUCACCUCAAAUGAGGGUUGCUUAACUUACGACUAUGUUUAUUGUGCAGUACUUAAAAGUUCCUCUUGAGCUAGUUCAAACUUCAAAUCACUGAUGGUAUAAGUGAGAUGGUUGUACUCUUAAUGUCUAAGAAAUUAUAUUAAGGUGAAAUAAAUUUACCUGAUGUGUUUGGAUUCCAUAUAAUACAGUAUGCCAUGUUAUUGUUUUAUACAAGGUUAAGAGGCAAAAUUUGUCAUUCCCUAGACUUCUCCAGUGUAGACUGAGCAAUAAGAUUGACAGGAAUUUAACUAAUGUGACCUGAUCUAGAAAUUAGUCACUAUCAUAUAAUAUUGAUUCUAUAUGCUAAGAGAAUGUGGCUACAAAGAAUGAACAGGAUUAAUUUACCUACAAUUAGCAUAUAGUGUUUGUGUUUUUGCUGCUUGCAAUCUCUUAAACAAGGCUUACAUAGUGAGUUACUGGGACUAUAUAACCUCCCAAUUUUUUAAUCCACCAUGGCUUGAAGGUUAUGCUGUUGCUUGAAGGAGGUCUUUGCAGUGAUGAGAUAUGUGAAUCAUAAUAAUGAAGGUAAGGAAUUAAUUUUCUUUGAACUUAAAAGAAUAUACAGUGAAGGACGAGCUGUCCUUCACUACAAACAAAAUCUUUCAACAAAUUGGAGAAACUAAACAAGAUCACUGAAGAAAAACAAUGGAGUACCAAAUCAGAAAACAGAUCAUAACCAAGAAAUAUACAGCUCAGGGGGGAUAAAACUCCCUUACAAAACAAUCUGACUGAAAAGCUCCACACAUGGCUAGAAGCUAGAAAGUCAGCUAACCAGUUGGCUGAGCAUGGAACCCAAGGUAGGAGCACCCCAAAACUCAACCUAAAUCUAUGAUCUGAUGUUUUUCCUUGCUCACUCAAGAAAUGAUUGUGGCUGAAUCAUUCUCCACUUAAAAGUUUGGAUAUACCCAAAGAAUUAGCCAAAAACAAGCCCUCCAGAACUGCCUGAAUCUCUACCUAGAAAACUGAACAAGCCCCAGCUGAUUUAGAGAAAGCUCCUAACACCAUACCAUCACAAUCCCUAAUCACACCUCCAAUAUGUAGCUGUUCUGGGUUAUUAAAGAACUGCUAUGAAAGUUUACUUUGUGGACACCUACUGGAAGGAGUCUACACUCCUCUUGGAAGAGCAAACAAAGCCUUUGCAUUUGAUUUAAGAUAUAUUGGAGUCUGUGUGUUGGUAACAAUAACUUGAACAGUAUGUCAGCAAUAACUUCAUGUGUGGUCUUUCCAUAAUUUGUUUUUAUGUCUGACUCAUGUUUACAAUAAGAAACUUACCUUUUUUCUUUGGAUACUCAUAGUGUAUUUUACUCAUAACUACCAUAAUUCAGAAUCUUGACUAUGGGAAAGGCAUGUCUGGUACAGCCAUGGCUCCUGAAGACACGUCCAUCCUACAUGGAGUUGAGCAGAGACAGUAGUUCUUUACAGAUUUGUCCUGCUACAUAGUGUGACUAGUGUCUAGUAUCCAGUGUCAGUCAAGGCAAUUCAAUGGCACCAUCAUGACACUGAUGGACAUCAGUUUCCUUGGAAUGACAUCCAUAUUUCCAAGUGUAGAUACUUCCCUAUUCAACAAAUCUUACAAUCCAUGGCCAUCAUAUCAACUCCUUAGCAGGCAAAGCUUGUUCCUAAUGUUCAGCUGUUUAGUCAUAUCUAUUAUUUGUUGUGCAUGCUGAACCAAUGACCAUAGUUUCAACUCCUUAACCGACUCUUGUUCAUACUGUUUGACAAUUUUGUCAUUUAAGAUUACUUUCUGUGCAUGCUAAAUUGUUGGCUUUGCUUGAUUUACAGUCUCCAUAUCAGAAAUCAUAUUCUGUGCAUUUACUGGAUUUCACUGUUUUGAAACAGGUUUCUAUUUGGGAUGGUAUUAUACCAUCCAUAGAACAAGCAAAGUUCCGGAUUAACACCAUAAACAAGUACCGUCUUGCUGAUCAGGUAAGGCUUCUCUUCAGUACAAUUUCUGCCACUAAUGGUCCCAGGAGCAUCAAACCCCUAUAAAAAUUAUGAGUCUCUCCUCACCAAGCCAGGGCCCAAUAUUAGCAUACUUUAUGUUGGUCGUACGGAAAAGGAGGCUUUUCUUUCCAACCCCAUCAAGAAAAGGAAAAAUUUAUAAUCUGCCGCAAUUUUCUGCCCUCUUACCACCUACCAUAUGCAACAAGGAUGCCCCAGUAUUUGCCGUCACCUAACACCCACGUCCAACACAAAACCUUUAUCUAAAUUUAUGCAUGAAAAUGUUCUGGAGGUUUCACUGUAGAUGCCUUUCUGCUUCCUGAUUAUGAAGGUGAUGAUCUGUUUGUCAAUCAGUUCACUGCAUAUUUGUUUUCUUCCACUCAUCCUAGUCAUCGUUUCCAGGGGAACAACCUUCGGGGCAGAGAAUUUAACUUGACAUUGCAUUGGCAUGUCAUGCCCAGGACAGGCAAAAUGUUUGCCGAUAAAAUAGUUAUGACAGGAUAUCGCAUGCCCCAUGAGUACGUAUAAAGGAUCUUUUCUGUGUAUUUUAAGUUCUUAUAGGAUGGGAAUUAAACAAUUACACUAUAAAGAAAUAUCACAAAAUUUUCAAAUUGGGUGAAAAGCUUAUCAGGAAGAGACUUCCCUUGAGGUUAUACGCUGGCCCACUCUUUCGUCUUAGCAAUCAAUUGCUACCUUCAAAAACGUUGUCACUUCAACAUUGACGCAAAUUGUUUUGUACCUAAUUUGCAUCCUAUUUUAUAUUUUGAUCUCAUCUAUUUGUAUUCUGAUCAUAUAUGUUUUGUAUCUUUAUUUAACGAUCUAGAUUUCAUAAUAUAUGAUCGAGAUUGUAUGUUUGAUUGAUGCAAAUCAAUACCCUAAAAUUUUUCAAAAAUAAAAUAAAAUACAUCGCUCUCACCAAACAUGGUGGCUGGAUUUAAAAAAGCUAAAAGAUCCAAGUAUGAAGCUCCAAAUGGUGAAGACAUGCCAUUCUCCACGCACCCUGGAAGGACUGCAACAAGAUCCAUUUCGUUCCCUCUCAUUGGCUUGUCUGCAUUUUUUUUUUCUUCCGUUUAUCUUAUUUAAUAUAUGUAUACAUUUCAUCGCUCUCAUCAAUCUGGCUAGCACUUAUUUAUUUGGACAUUAUUGGCUUCUGAUAUUUACUGGCAGCCAAUGAAAUUUCAUUAGUAUUUAAUAACCAAAGUGCAGAGUGUGGCUCACACACCAUAUUUUUUAAAAACAGAUGGAUACAAAAAUGGAGGAAAAUACCUCAAGAUCUCCAAUAUCUCAAUAGAAAAUCCAAGAACCCACCCAAUUCUUUUCGCAAUCAAUGACGAUUGACUUGCUACUUCACUCCCAUAAUAUUUUGUUUCUGCACUAUAAAAAAAGGUCCUCCAAUUUGGGCUGCCAAAAGAUUCAUCCAAAUGUUUUUUCUCAAUGCCUUUUUCUUUAUUUUCAAAAUUACCCAGAUGGAGUAGUAUCGAUUCUUAUAUUAUUCUACAAGUGAUACCCCCUUCCAAUUAUCAUCCCUGAGGUCAUAUCGCACCCAUCUUCCAACAAAAAUUUGACGCUUUUCUUUCUCUUUAUCCAUUCAGCCAAACACAGCAUGUAAAUAUUCUUAAAGAACUUCUUCCAGAAUUCACCAAAUCAGAUAGAAUAUCUGGAAAGCUGAAAACUUCAGAGACUACGACAACGAAUUAUCAUUCAUGAUGAUGCUACAAAUUGGAUGACGAAUCAUCAAAUUUGCUCAAUAUUCAAUGCAGAUGCAUGAAAGUUUGAAUGGUCCCUACGUAUAAUAGAAUACAGUAUAUGAAAAAGAAGGUAUCUUGGCAUAUGGGUUUUCCCCAAAAUUGUAGUUUUCAGUGAGGGCGGUGGCCACAGGCCCCCAAGGUCAAGGGAAAAUUGAAGAUGUGGCUGUCACUUGCCUUAAGAAAAUGGGGAUUGCACAAGUCUUAAUCGUUGUUACUGGUGGUUGUGCUCAAAAGGGCUUUUAUUUUGGUGGAAUCGAUCUUCCUCUUUUAUCAAAUCCAACAAUUAUUUUUUUUUUGGCUUUUUCUUAUGGGUUGUUUGGAAUCUUGCAUUUAUACGUUUCCUCUUGGCCCCACAGAUUCCCAACCACCAUUCCUCGUUUUUAUCGGGAAAAUUUUGAGGGUGAAACCACCUAGAAUUUCCUAGAAUUGGAGGAGAGGGCCACAAUCCUUCAUUUAGAGCACACUAGUGUCAUUAAUUAUGGAUGAUUGAAACUUUUUCUUCUUCUUGAUUGCUGGCCAGUGGUGCUUAUCACUGCAACAAUGUUGUCUUUCUCCGACUUAUAUGACUAUAUGGAAUUGGUUCCUAUAUCGGUGAAUUACAGACACAUUUUCAUAAGCUCGAUGUCUUAAGCAAUCAAAUUCAAUGAAUAACUUAGUUUGAAAAAAGGGAUUGAAUUAAGAAAGUGAAAUUGAUAGAAUGAUUGUUUUCAAUAGAAAUAAAGAAAAUAGUCCAUUUAAACAGUAUUAUAGUUGACUUAGCGAUAUUUUCAUAAGCUCGAUGUCUUAAGCAUCCAAAUUUAAUGAAUAACUUAGUUUGAAAAAAGGGAUUGAACUAAGAAAGUGAAAUGGAUAGAAUGAUUAUUUUCAAUAGAAAUAAAGGAAAUAGUCAAUUUAAACAGUAUUAUAGUCGACUUAGGGAUUUAUGAUAAAUUGUAAUCGACUCAGGAAUUCAAGUAAAGAUUGAACUUCUUUCGUAGUAUGUUCAUCAAUAUCAAACUUCAUACAAUAUAAUACGACAGAAAGAAUCGACUUUCAUAUGUUGUGUCAUGUGUCUUAAAGGAUAAAAUAGUUAUAAAUGAAUUAUAAAUAUCAAAAAAUUACAUUUCAAUAAUUCACCAAACGGAGCCUCUUCUUAAGAAAAAGAAUAGGGUGUAUAAAAACAACUUGUUUAAAGAAAAAAUUGAGGGAUAAGAUAGGUUAUUUUAUAUCAUAUGACAAAAUCUAAGCAAUUUGUGUUCUCAAGUGACUGCAAACCACCGCCAGACAAGGUCUGUAAAGUUUCAACAUCUCCUUCAUGGUGCCUUUAAGCUACCCACCAAAUAAACGUGCCCUAUAAUAUUGCAAAUGACUUCAAUCAACUGCCCUUUGCUUCUUUCCAUUUUUGCCAUUUUUUCAAACAAUCUUUAAUGUUUAGGAAACAUUUUUGCAUUUAUCAAUGUGCACUCACCUACUCUGCCCUUCGCAAGUUGCAUAAUAUCCUUGCCUAUAAUUGGUCAUUUGUGUGUUGCACUCUCUAGAUGCUCAUUUCUGUCAUCAACUGCCUCUAGUGGGUGCUACGUCCAAGCCUGACACCUUCAAAAUGAUACCGGAAACCAAUCUUGAUUCAUCUUUUUGUUUUCCAUUUCAUUGAACGAAAGAAAAUAUAGGAAAAGGAAGGAGUGUAGAAGAAAGUUAGGUGCUAGUCGUGGGAUGCUACCAUGCUAGUGGACAAUAAUUUUGUUGGUUUGCCCUUCAACUAGUACAUGCAUAUUACUUAUCUUAUUCAUCAUGUCAUGAACGUUGGUAUGAUUGUCAUUCAAUUGAUUCAUGACCCAUUUAAUUAUCCCAUCAUAUUGACAAGAAUAAGAUUGUAAUUUAGCUUCUACAUCUACAUAUUCCCAUACUACAUAAUUCUUGUACAUUUAAAAUCUUCAAUGAGUUCGAUAAAUCAUAAUCAUAUAAUUUAAUUAUUUUACGUCUAUUUCAUGUUAAUUAACCAAUAUCAUCGUACACGUACCACCAAGGUGGACCUAACAUGGAGUCCUUGACUAAUCUCUUCAAGAUGCUUAAUGAUUUUUUAAAACUUCAUGUGAAAUGGUAGAUAUAUUAUUCUUUUUCAUUUUUAAAUUUAAUUAUUAAUUCUUUUUUAAAACAAUGGAGUACUAUGUAAUAUGAGAGCAGCAUAUCAUAAUAAUAAUAAUGGAAAGAAUAGCAUUAGAUUUCCGAAUAGAUUCUUGAAUCACAUGAUAAAUAAAUGUUAUAAAAUAAAGAACAAGUAUAUGUAGUUGAAGCAACCCAUUGAUAUGUCCAUUCUUCAAAUUAAUUGAACCCAUAUGGAACAAAGUUAAGGUAUCAAUUUGACAUCUGAUAUACUCUUUAUCUCCACCAUUAAAAGUAUAUUAAUCGAAAUCGUACAUAUAUGGAGUACAAGAUUUUAACGUGGUUUGAUGAUUAAUAUGAUAUAUCCACAAAAUGCAUUAAUACUUAAUAAUCCAGUAAUCAAAGGAAAAAGGAAUAGAAAAAUGAAACUCUUAAAAAAAAAAAUCCUCUCAAUUAUGACUGUAUUCUUUAAAAGGAUUAAAUAUAUUAUAGGAGUUGAUUUGUCAUUCAUCACAUAAAAGAAAUUUCUCUAGGGCGUUGCCCCUUCAAUCCCAUGAGCUAAUCAAGCAGCUCGAUCCCCAUGUGCUCAACGGAGAAUUAUACCCCAGGCAUUGCGAGCAAGCAUGGUUCACAAUUCGACCAAAUCAAAUACAAAAAAUAGGAUUAAGAUGGAUUAAAGUAUAAAAUAAUAAGAUGCAAAUAUGUAACUAAUUGAUUGUACUUUUGGGCAAAUGACUCUUUGUAUCUUAGCUGACCGCAUCCAUAAUAUACCAGAUUGGAGACAAUCUUCUAAACCGUGGGCCAUUUCCCAAAACCAUGUGCCGGUGGCCAACGGGUGUUUCCCUCACGUUUCUCAGUUUUAUCCACGGCCGUUGCUCUUUACACCUCUCCGAUUCCUUGGAUUUAUUGUUUUUUUAUCCACCACUUGGACAAGACAGCAAAGCCCAGUAUCCACUGCCCCCACCCCUGAUCCCUGCUCUGCAACCGACACACGUGGCCCACAUGAUCGAGAUCCACGUCAACAUGAUCCAGACCAACAUCAAUGGGUUGACCCACAUCUGGCACAUGCAGCCCAAGUCCAACAAUUGAACGGCGCCAAGUUCACUGCGUGAGCACAUAGUUUCCAUCUUUAAUAAAAAUCCAUUUCAGUCUUGGAGAUAUCAUCAUUGAUAGUUUUUAAUCAUCCUUUUGCCGGUGAUAUUUUUUCGUAAUGGAAUCUGGGAUUCUUGGAGUUGAAGAAUCUUCCCGUUUUAAUUAAUGGGAAACAAAUAAAAAAUAGUAUCUUUUUGCCUUGGAUGACUAGGAAAGCCACUUGGAAAAAGUAAAUUAUAAUAUGAAAACCCAACAUAAAGAAUCAAUGUAUAGGCUGUCCUGUCCCUGCCGAUGUGCCUGAUUACGUUUCGAAGCCUGUUCGAAACGGUGACGUUUUGACACUUCCACCCACAAGUGGCUCUCCUUUCUCUUGAAACUUAGGUGUAUGUUGCUUUCAGUACACAGGAAUUUUGGGUCCAUCCCUGGUUUUGGACGCGGGAAGGAAGCUUGGACCCGGUUAUAUUUUUCAAUAUGAUCACCAUCCCAUAUUUAAUUAUUGGAAUGUUUACGUGUGCCUUCAAUACACCUUUAUUUUUAUUAUUUUUUUAUUUUUUUUAUUUUGAAAAAAAUAUAGAUUUCAUAAUAUUUUAUAUAAAAGUUAUUUUUUUUAUUUUAAUAUUUUAAUAAUUUUAAUUUUAUUUUCUAAUUUUAGAAAUUGAAAACCUUCACCAUCAAUAUCUGCUGUUAGGGAUGGGAAAUGAAAAUCCGAAUAUAACUUCGUCUCGUUCCUCUUGUUUCGAUUAUAUAUAAUAUUAAAAAAAUUGUUUUAAUUGAACUUUUUAUUUCUAACUUUUUAAUAUAUAUAAUAUUAUUUUUUAUAAAAAUAAAUUAUAAAUAUAUAUAAUAUUCAUUGAGUUAUAACAUAUUUUUUUAAUAAAAUUUAAUAUCGAAAAAUUGAAAAAAUAAAUUUAAUUAAAAGAGGAUAGGUGGAUAUGAGAAUUUCUAUACUAUGCUACCCAUUGCCAUUCUUAAUUGGUGUUGGUUAAUAAAAUAAAAUUAAAAAAAUAAAAGAAGGAAGAAGGUAGGUGGAGAUGGGGUGAGUAGUAAGGAGAAACCCAACAGGCCUCCAUUUUAGUUAGGGUAGAUGUCUUAAUUUGAGUACCAAAUUUAGAAACAUGGUGUUGAAUAAAAUCCAAUUAAUCAUAUGGGACGAAAAUAGUGGUCCCACAUCCAGUCAUCCAUGAGAUGGUUCACACUCAACCGUCCGAUGCAAUUUUUUAAAAAAAGUUUUUUUAUUUACUCAAAUUUCAUUAAUAAAUAUUUAUUUUUAACAUCUUAAAUUAGAAAUGUUGAUAUCAUUUUGCUGAAAGGAAGUAAUUAUUUUGAAUUAAUUUUCCUUGACAUUUAAUUUAAUAAUAUAAAUAUUAAAAUAAUAUGUUUUAAAAUUUUAAUUAGUUACUUUAAAAAAUAAAAAUGAAAUAAGAUAAUAAAAAAAAAUUAAAUUAUUUUUCCUUUUUCUUUUCUCAUAAUAUUUUCUUUUUAAAAUGCUUUAUUGGACGAACGUUAUAUAAAAGCUUUCAGCAAAAACAUUAACCUCAAUUUUAUUAAAUAUAUAUAUAUAUAUAAUCUUUAAAAUUGUUGUUUAUUAAAAAUUACGUUGGAUUCAGAAGCCACCAACUCCGGCCACUAGGCUGAGAUGAGGCGGAUGAGGGCCCCACAAAGCCAAUACGUCUCAAUCCGACGCACAAGAAUCAUCGCCCCUCACGCGGGACCCACGACCCACCCCACAUGACCUUCCCGUCCUCUACAGAAUUAAAUAAUUAAAAUUACCAUUAAAAAAUUCAGGGAAAUCAUAUAAUUACGAUAAUGCCCCGCCGCAUUUUCUUUAUAUUGACACCCCCUUCCUCGUUUCCUCUUCCAUUUUCCAGCCUUUAACUUUCUGAUACAGAGCAGAGUAAAAUGUUGGGUGUUUUCAGCAGCUCCAUCAUGUCGCCUCCAGACGAGCUGGUGGCCGCCGGCUGCCGGACUCCGUCUCCCAAGAUCACGGCGGAGGCGCUGAUGAACCGGUUCAUCCAGGGAAACCCCUCCGCCGUUUCCGUACAUGUCGGAGACCACGUUCAGCUUGCGUACACUCACCACAACGAGUCCCCUUUGCUGCCCAGGUAAAAACACACACAAACCACCAACUCCACGACCUCCUUCUGCAUCUUUUUCUCACCACAUAUCAGUCGUUACUAAAAUUUCGUUUCAGAAAUGAUUCCUGAUUUUUUUCGACGCCGUCAAAUGCCAUCCACCGCCCGAUGAGAUGGCGGAUCUGCUCAUCGGACGGUGGGGAACAUUCAAUCGUUUCCCAGGUCCCCCCUCCCUCCUCCGUAGACCACAUGAAUGAUUUCUCCGUUUGGUUUCGGAGAAAAAGAGGUUCAAAAGAGGCCUUGUUGUAUAAGCAUACCCAUUCCAGCACCCUCACACAGUGUUAAGAUUCUAUUUUCCCAGAAACCAAACGGGAUCACUGAUCAGACCUUUCACUCGUCUUGAACACGAAAGUGAGAAAGCUUCAUCCUUCAUUUCCUGCAAUUGAGAUUGGACGGUGAUGAUCUCAUAAUCAUCGUGAAUUCUGCGGCAAUGAUUAAAACUCAUCGGCCAGAGUUUUGGCGUUGAGGGUCCCACCUGCAUCCAUGCAUGCAUGUGUGACACGUAAGACAAGAGCUGUGACCUCCCAGGUCAUCCGUGGGCUUUCAACCACACGCGUGGCAUAGAGCCCAGAACUGAAGCAAACAACUGGUCUCCUGGUCAACUUUCUGGUUUUGCGUUUCAAUAAUUCAAUCUUUCAUUCGCUCACAUUUUUUCAUGCUUCUAGGCACAUGUAUUGCAGCACCCAAAAAAAAAAAAAAAUCUUUUUAAAAUAUUUUUAUUUUUAAAAAAAUAAUAACAUAUUCAUAAAAUAAUAAAAAAAACCCUUUAGAAAUGCUAACUUUUUACAUCAUCAAGACAAAAGUGGAAAAUCUUAUACCAAAAAAAAAAACGUUAUUUAAAUUAAAAUUAUCUUCCAAAAAAAAAACCCCUUAUUUUAGAUAGGAAAUAUAGAUUUAUUUAUUUUUUUUAAUUUUCUAGUUCGAUUAUUUGGUGUGAGAUGGUUGGUCCCCGGUUGCAAGGGUGUGACAUAAUCGGCGUAUUAGAUGAUUUAAGGACACGUAACUUGUCGUUUUCUAGAGGUAUAAGCGGCGUAAGCCAUGGGGCCCAACCUACUAUUUAGAUUUAUUCUGAAAUUUCUUAUAGUAUAAUUGCAAUUGUCAAUUUUUGAAGUGAUAUAAUAUAAUAAUAUAAUAAUAUAACAUUGAUAUGAUGGGAAAAUUUAAAGGCAUGGUAUAGAUGAUGAAAGAUUUAGAAAUAUGAAGACUACAUAGGACUAGAAAAAUGAAUACAAUUAAUAAUGAUGAAGCAGAUAAAGCAAUGGCAUCAUCUUCAUCUUCCCAGCGAGGGGAUGAGAAUCCAGGACGGUGUGGGCUCCAUUUGGGUUGAACAAAGGAAGAAAGAACGGAGGAGGUCAUGGAACUAGUGACCCUCACGCUUGGACUUUGGGAUUUUUGCUUUUAUGACAAUGACCUAAUUUUCCUUUGUAGUGGGUGGCCCGAUCAAUGGUAUGGUGACUACGCUUUAUCCUGAACCGAGGGGAUGGGCACCGGCUAAGGAUAACGUCCCUGUCUCACCUGUGGGACCUCGACCAUUAUCAAAACCCAAAGCCCAUAUGGUCCCCCAACUUAUCCUCUUUCCCCCACGAAAGUCUUUAUAUAAUAUAUUUAUAAUGAAUUUCGUGAUUUUUAUUUUUAUUUUUAUGAAAAAUAAAUUUGUCAUGCAGGUCAUUUGCGGUGAAGGAUGAGAUAUUUAGCUUGUUUGAAGGGGCACUGGACAACCUGGGGAGCCUGAGGCAGCAAUAUGGGCUAGCCAAGUCAGCAAACGAGGUGGUUCUGGUGAUAGAAGCGUAUAAGGCACUGCGUGACAGGGCGCCUUACCCUCCAAACCAUGUCGUGGGACAUCUCAGUGGAAGCUUUGCUUUCAUCGUCUUCGACAAGUCCACUUCCACCUUGUUUGUUGCUUCUGUAAGUCCCUCCCUCUCACCCACCCCCACCCACCAAUAUAAGAUGGGGUGUGUCCAGUUUUCAAUUUCGUGUUCUCUGAUGUGAGUUGGGGGUUGGUUGGAAUUGUGAUAGGACCAAUUUGGGAAGGUGCCUCUGUCUUGGGGAAUCACUGCUGAUGGGUAUGUGGCCUUUGCUGAUGACGCUGAAUUGCUCAAAGGCGCUUGUGGCAAGUCACUGGCCU
rnacentral:lncRNA from 1 species